UUUUCCGACCUAAAAAGUUCGAAAAUCGGAAUUCUGGAUAAGUCCUGAGAGUUUUUACUCUCGGGGACUGGUCCGUGGAAGGAGAGACCGGUCCCCCAGUGAGCAGUGUUGAGGCAGCCUGAGGCAACCGGUCCCUGGCAGGCGAGACCGGUCCCCGAGCGCGUCUUCGCAGUGAGAGACCGGUCCUGCACGGGGAGAGACCGGUUCCCGAACGUUGGUUUUUCGGGUUCGCAGCGAGAGACCGGUCCCUGCUGGGGAGAGACCGGUCCCUCUGGGCGAAAACUGCCCAGUUCGGGCUGAUGUAAUAUUGGGUUUUUGAGGGGCCUGGUUGGAUUUUGUUACUCUAGAUGGGCUUAUUAGCCAUUUCACUCCCUUCCCUCCUCAUUUCUCACCACCCUACACCUUCUAGAGAGAGAAGAAGAAGAAGGAGAAGAAGAAGAAGGAGGAGAAGAAGAAGAGGAGCUAGUUUGAGGGAGCUUGGAGCUCAACCCCUUUCUCUCUUUCCCACCUUGGCAAGGCUUGGAGCUUGCUUGUAGAGCUUAGUGGUGGACCAACUUCAACCCUAGAAGAUUUUGAGCUUGGAUUGGAGCAUCCUAGAGGUAUGUGGCAAGGUUCCUCCCUCUAGAUCUUAGUUUUGGAGCUUUUUGCUUGUUUUAACCCUAGAAUGAGAUUUAGGGUUUAAUUUUGGGCAUUUUUGAUCUAGGGCUUUUGGGGCUAAAUUGAUUGGUUUAGAACCUUCCUAGGGCUUGGAUUGGAAGGGUUCUAGCUCUCUUUUGGAGCUUUGGGAGAGAUUUCUACUCUUGAGGUAAAUUUUGGCCCUUUUUGCUCCUAGGUUAAUGUUUGAUCUUACGGUUGGUCGUGAUGCUCCCGUAUCUCUUCACUGACCACUUUUAGGGUAUCUUGAGGCUCGUGGACAACUUCGUUCGGCGAAUCGAGACCCUACGCGACGGUUCGGUGGGUUUGACCUAGCCACACAAUGAGAAAUUCUCAUGUGUGUUUAAUUAAGUGUUGUUAAAUGAAAAAGCAUGCAUAUUCUUGUUAUACGAAUUUAUUGUGAAUUUUAGAAUGCUUAAAAGGCCUACGUUAUAUAUAAUGAAAUUUUGGACCUCUAUGUAGUAGAGAGUAGCUUAUUAGGCCAUGGUUGCAUUUAGCAUUCUAUAUGAGACGCGGUAUCCUACUUCUAUAGUAUAAAUGAGUUCGGAUUCAUGCAUGUAAACCUACAAUUACUUGUGACAUGAAAAUUGACAAGAUUGUCAUUUAGAAGCUAUGUGAAUUAGAGAGCUAAUGUCAUCAAGCGGCAUUGAGCUCGGGACGCGUGUGAACCUAAUGGAUAGGGCCAUCAAGGGAUUUGAAAUACAUAUUGAACAUCAGAUUGCCUAAGUGUCAUCAAAGGGCACUAGGCGUAGCAAAGGUUGAACCUUCACAUUGUGACAUAAACUAGAUCUUUGGGAUACUAGUGACUAUACCAUGUUAGAGACAUGAGGAUUGGAUACUUUAGACUUGGACUUUGCUUGCUUGCCAUUUGUGCUCAUUCGCACAUGCUUGUGAGGGUCGCUCCCUACAAGCCGGCACUCCGGAGUUAGCCUAUGCGACCUAUGUUCGCUCGUGCGGUAUUGAGAAGCCUACGGGGUCGAGUGGGACAGACACAUUCCAAGAGUAGGAAUGUCGGGCUACCACAGGCACUUAGGCGGCACAAGCUGGACUACCUUUGGUAGGUCCUUGAUUGGAAAUGGAAAUCGAUACGGGGUCGAGAUUGGUUAAUCACUACUAGAUAGGUUUAGUAGUUGGAUUACAUUUAUAUGUUUUUUUAGCAUAGUGUUGAGACAUGUAGUAUAUUUGAUAGUCUCUUGUUGCAUUAGAGCAUACUUGGUUGCCAUGAUAGAGCUUAUGCAUCAUGCAUUGAUAAGGGUUAUUGACAUUAGACUAGUGCCAUUGGACGUAAUUGUAAGGAUAGAAUAGAUGUACAUUUUGGUUUACAUCACGCUUUCUUUCAGCAGUUUAUUUACAUGCUCCUUAUUGCUUAUUAUUAUUAUCGUUGCUUACCUUUGUUUUUGGGGCCUAGUGGAGCAGGAGCUGAGGUCAGUAAUUGCCCACUGGGAACUAUAGCUUAUAGUUCUCACGCCCUCUUUUUCUCGAUGUUUUCAGAGCCUUCCACUCAGGGCGAGGCUAGGGACCGCGGGAAGGGAGUUGCUUCGAGCUAGCUUCCUUUGAGGACGAUUCGCUAGGUGGUCUACCUCUCGUUGUGUUUUAUUUUGGAGAGGUUGAGAGUUCUACCAGUGUAUUAGAGACCACCGUUUUUGUACUUUUGAGACAGAUAUUGUACUACUUGUGAUUUCUUUAUUGUCUAGCUUUACUUGCUCUGAUAUCAUUAGUUGCUAGUUAUUUCACCUCGUCAUUUGUUCUAUUCUUGCUUUUACUUCCGCUUUUAUUGUAGACGCCUUAUAUGUGUAGACAUAUGGCGGGUCUGGGCACGCUACCGGGAGGGCCUCCGCCGGUCCCGGGGCGUGACAGAUUAAUUUGGUAUCAGAGCCUAGGGUUGAGUCUUAGUGGACCUAGCGAACCUUAGGCCGGUUGAACUAUAGGAAUUAGGCUCGUGAGAUACGGGGUCUAAUUGACUUGUGAGCGAAAGUAUCGUGAUUGGGUGUCUUGAUAACUCUAAAAAGGUUAGAGUUGGAUCGGAGUGUAUGGCUCCUAACUUCGCGGAGGGUUACGUUGGCGGCCGACAACGUAACAUCGGGAGUUAGUAGUGAAGGACACUUCCUUACUUUCGCAUGAUUUGGGUUUUAUCUAUUUGAGCGGGGAUUCGAUAGUGCGGGUUACUAACUUGCACUUUUAUGUUUUGUAGCGACGAUGCCGAUUACUCGCUCCCAGUCUGCCGGGGCGGAUGAUGCGGCACAUCCCGAGGAGGUUGAGACCUCCGCUACUUCCGGAUCUAGCGAGGUCCGUGACCUGAAGGCCCAGCUUGCGGCCCUUACUGAUCUGUUGGCGCAGCAGACGGUAGCGGCGCAGCGACAGGCCGAGGUGGCUCAGCGGCAGGAGGCACGGAUGAAGCAUUUGGAGGGCCUCCUACUUCAGCAGGCGGCAGCCUCGAGGGAGACCAAGGGUCCUACACCGCCAGCACCCGUGGUGGACGUCGCACCGAGGGCGCAGUCCCCCGCGCCCAGUUCUUCCCGUGCGGCACCGGCGCCCGCACCUCGGGAGGAGGUGGCUGCGGUACCCCCAGUACAGAGACCGGCGACGGGGGUGGCAUUCCCCGUGAUGGUCGAGGGAGCUGAGCGGGAUCGGCUCAUGGAGCGCCUCAGUGAGUUCAGGAGGUGCAGCCCGAGGAUGUUUGAUGGCGAGAACGUCAACCACUGGAUUGUUGAGAAGUGGUUGAUACACAUGGAAAAGCUGUUUCGAGACACUUUUGUGGAGGAGCGGACAGAGUUUGGCUUGCCACUCACUUUUUGGACGGCGAGGCCUACCGUUGGUGGUUGGAUAUCCAGGACAACCCCAACAUCGACUUUUCAGCGAUUACUUGGACACGAUUCAAGGAGCUUCUACUGGCGCACCACUUUCCUACCAGCGUCAAGAGGAAGAUGGAGCAGGAUUUGCGCAGCUUGCGCCAAGAUGAGCGGUCAGUGGCUCAGUACGAGAGGGAGUUCUCCCGGAUACUACANUGAGCUGAGGUCAGUAAUUGCCCACUGGGAACUAUAAAUUAUAGUUCUCACGCCCUCUUUUUCUCGUUGUGUUUCAGAGCCUUCCACACAGGGUGAGGCCAAGGAUCGCGGAAAGAGUAUUACCUCGGGCUAGCGUGCUUACCGAGGGAUCGUUUGAUCGGUGGUCUACCUCUCUUUGUUUCUUUUGUGAGAGGUUGAGAGUUUUACCAGUGUAGUAGAGACCACCAUUUUUGUACUAGAAGCUGAUAUUGUACUACUUAUGUUUCACUUUUAUGGUUUAGCUAUGCUCUUUUCCUAUUGUUAUAGAAGAUAGAAUCAUACUGCUCUGAUAUCCCUAGUUGUUGCUCAUUCGUUUCUAUUACUUCUCGCUUUUACUUCCGCUUUUACUCUAGACGCCUUAUAUGUGUAGACAUAUGGCGGGUCUGGACACGCUACCGGGAGGGCCUCUGCCGGUCCCGGGGCGUGACAAUCCUUGUAAGGACUGAGACUUUUACAGUGUAGCUAAACUCUCAGUUGACGAUGUUUUUGUGUGUAAUUUAAUUACAAAAGCACUCAUCAAGUUUCGGGAGAAAACGAGUUAAAACGGAGAUUCUACGCGAUUUCCAAGUUUUACUUAAAGUGAAUAGUAACUCGAUUUUUCGGAAAACCCACGGUGUGAAGUUGGCUUCAGGCUCAUAUCGGACUCCGUUCAUAGCAGUCCAAUAGCUCGUUUCGACCGGUUCAGCUAUUCUGGAACUAAUGGCGCUGACGGAUUUUGAGUUUGAUCCACGGAUUUCGAGAAAAUCCAAAAAUACGUGUUUUAUAUGUAUUUGUGCACAGUUCUUCUGUUGGAGAGAUGGAUCGGAUUUUGUCACGAAUCCGCGAAGGAUCGAGGUGAAACGAAAUCGUAGCUUUGUUGUCUCUGUUGUGCUGAUCUCACUGGUGCGAUCCGUUCGCAAAUCUGACGUACGGAUCUGCGGAGAUUGCGCGUUGAUUGAGGAGAGGUCGGUGAUGGCAAAACGGUAUUUUCGUAAAAAGUGUGACAUUUUAUGUGCCGUUUUGUGUGAAACCGAAGGUGGAGGUGUAUUCGUGCGUUUUACACGCACUGUGAAGGACCCAGUAUUAAAUACUGAGGUUUUGUGCUCUAACUCGCAAUUGUACACUUCUCUAUAUAAAGUUCACCUAGGGUUUGCCCAUUGGAAACCCUAACCCUAGCCUUGCCGCACCCCCCAGCCACCUUCAUCUCUCUCCCCUGCCUUGCCGCGCGUGCGACGGCCGCAACCGACCGAGCCCCGGCUCGCCAGCAGUAGCUUCUACCGCAGCCGCAACCUUUGCCACCUUCCCUCUCGAUCCAUCUCUCUCCUUCCACCUCUCUUCAUCUCGGGUUGGGGACGAGGCCGAGGUUGCUCUCCUCUACGGCAUCACCCCCGUAGCCCCGGCGACCACCCCAGUCGCCUGCCGCCGUCGCUAAGCGCGGCCGCCGCGCUGCAGCCACUUGUUGCCUGCUAGGGCAUCUCGGGCCGAGCUGAGCUCCAUCUGCUAGCCGCGCGCCGCCGCCACCUGAGGCCGCUCCCGCCGCCUUCCCCGGAGCCUCGGCGACCACCCUGGCCGGUCUCUGCCGCCCCUGCGGGCCGCCGCCGCCGCCUCGGCCAGCCGCGGCCGCCCCAGACCCUCUCAGGCCGAGGUGGACUCGCGACUUCUCCCCCGCGCUGCCGCAGCUCGGGGCCGCACCCGAGGCAUCCCUUCGGCCUCCAGCUACUCCCCGUCGUUGUCCCUGAGCUUCUCGGCCGCCGCUGUGGCCGCCUCUGCUCUGGAACCCGAGCCCUAGCUCGUGCGGGCUCAGGCUGCUCCGCCGCUGCCACCGCCGCACCUCGCCGCCGGCUAAGGUGAUCCUUGUGCUCCUUCCAUCCCCCGCACCCACCUCUGGCCCGCGCACACCUCGCCAUGCCGUCGGAAGCCGGCCGGAGCAAGCUUGCUCCAGCCAAGCCCGAAUUAGGGCUUUUCUGGGAUGGCUUACUGUUUCGAGCGACCAGAGGCUUCCCGAUCUCUGAGGAAGGGAGCAUGAUGAUCUUUAAUCCUUGCUGAUCAUCGUGCUCACCUUAGAUUUUGUCGGAAAGACUUCGUUAUGCUGUUUCGGUAGUGUCGCCCCUUCAGGGCCUUCUUGGCUGCUGUUUUGGCCUUGCGCGCACUUUUUCGGCGAUCCAAGGCUGUCCCGAUGCCUCCGGAAGUGAGCACGAUGAUCGCUGGUCUGUUCUGAUCACAGUGCUCACCUUACUUUGGAUCAGCGGAUGUCGUGUCGGCAUGUUCGGCACGAUUUUUCCCGACUGCGCGCUAUUCGCAGAACCUUCGGGUCGCUCCCGCCCCUCCCACAGUGAGCCGUUGUGCUCUGGAUCAUGAGCACGGCCUCCGGUACAUCAGACCUGUCAGUGCGUGUCUCAGCAGACCUUGAAAGUCCUCGGUUUGCGUGAACGAGCCACUUGAUCGCCAAAAUUACAUAAAAUGUUAGGAUUUUAAGUAAUUAGAGGGGCUUUUGUGCAAUUGUGCACCUUAUGGCUACUGUGGGCAGUGCAUGUGUGUGUGUGGUGACCUCUGGACUGAUUGUCCAUGAUCCGAUAGUCUUCGCCGAAAUGGAGGAGUUGAUUUCGGUGCGUUUUUCGGCGAAAUUCGCCGAAAGAACGCGAUUUCAGUUCGGAUUUCUUCUGACGUUGUUUGUUUAUCCUGUGAAUUGUCACUGAGCCUUGUUGGCUGGUCACCAUCAUCAUUUUGUGGGUUCAGUGAUGAUGGGUGAGCGACGGUGGGUUCCGGUGUCGAAAUAGACGCUUCCGGGAACCCGUAUUCGUACAAUUACUCGGCGAUAAUUGGGUAGUGGUGUUAUCUUGUGUUUGCUGCCAAGACAUCCAAACAUGAGUGUUUUGUGGCAGCGGGUAACUCGCGACACGAGUCGGUGAGUUUCGGGACACUUAGUAGGUCCCGACGGCGUCCUGGUGUGGUUUUCGGGACUUCUGGUGAGUUACGGUGAUCGGUUUUGGGAAAUCGAUUCAGGGAUCUGUGUGGGGGUUUGUGAGAUAGUAUACUUCAGGUUAGUGGGUUGGAUAGUGACCUAGUGGAUCUUCGUAGGUUCGGUGAAGUUGUGUGCAUCCAAGUUUUUCGACGCGAUUGUGACAGGUGGGUGCUUCGAGCUGGUAGUCGGUGAGAUCGUUUCACCCUUCCUCUGUUCUUUCAUAUCAGUAUCGUAGUCUCUACAUGUCAGCUGAUUGUUUAUCGUUUGUUUAUUGCAUCUCAUUGAUUGCAUUUGGAUUGUUGUGGAUAGACAUGUAGAGCAGGUUACAUAUAUAUUGUAUCUUUGUGGACCUUGGGUCUAGGCAACACAUCGACUCCUUUGUCGUGUGUUUCGAUCUGGUUGAUCGUGGUUCGGCGUUGUACGCCCUUGCACCUAGCUUCGGCCAAGGCACCGAUCUUUUUUUGCCAGUUUUCGUUUUGAGCAUAUCAGCAUGAUUUAGUCACAGCACUGUGUAUUCUAGACACCAGGUUGGUUUGGCCGCCAACCAAGAGGUGUACGUAUCCGGAUAGGUCGUCGGUGAUGCAUGAAUAAGUUGGCAGUGUCUGCUCUGUGACAGGCAAUACUCGAGGUUUGCGGACCAAUAUAGCAGCAUCAGAUUGGGUUUGGUUUGGACUAUUUACCCUUGAGGCAUACUGUAACACACUGGACCUUUGCAAAUUGCGAGGUUCGAGUGAUUGGAUGUGUUUCGAGCUUUUCCACACUUGGUGAAGGGUUGUAGAAUGCUUUUNGGACCUUUGCAAAUUGCGAGGUUCGAGUGAUUGGAUGUGUUUCGAGCUUUUCCACACUUGGUGAAGGGUUGUAGAAUGCUUUUCCGACCUAAAAAGUUUGAAAACCUGAAUUCUGGAUGAGUCCUGAGAGUUUUUACUCUCGGGGACCGGUCCCUGAUAUGAGAGACCGGUCCCCCCAGUGAACAGUGUGCGUAGGCGGCAAGGCAACCGGUCCCGCGCAGGGAGAGACAGGUUCCCGAACGUUGGUUUUUCGGGUUCGCAGCGAGAGACCGGUCCCUGCUGGGGAGAGACUGGUCCCUCUGGGCGAAAACUGCCCAGACCGGGCUGAUGUAAUACUAUUUUCUUGAGGGGCCUCUUGGGAUUUUGUUGCAUUAGAGGGUCUAUAUGACCCAUCCACUCUCUCCUCUCCCCAUUUCUCUUCUCUCAACCCUCUCUACACCCUUGAUAGAGAAGAAGAAGAAGAAGGAGAAGGAGAGGAAGGAGGAGAAGAAGAGGAGGAUCUAGCUUGGGCUUGGAGCAUUCUUUUGCCUUUCUUCCUCUUCCCACCUUGUUGGUGCUUGAAGGCUUGGACUUGGAGCUUGCAUAGGAGGAGAUCUUCACCCUUAGAGCUAGGAUUGGAGCUUCUAAGGAGGUUUGUUGCUCAUUUCCCUCCUCUAGAUCUUGUUUUGAAAGUUUUUGUAAAUGGAACCCUAGAAUAGAGAUUUAGGGCUUAUUUUGGGGCUUUUUGAUUUAGGGCUUUUGAGGCUAGAUUAAUUGGUUUAGAACCUUCCUUGGGCUUGGAUUGGAAGGGUUCUAGCUCUCUUGUGGAGCUUUGGAAGAGAUUUCUUCUCUUGAGGUGAGUUUUGGCCCUUUUUGCUUCUAGGUUAAUGUUUGAUCUUAUGGUUGGUCGUAAUGCCCUCGUAUCUCUUCGCUGAUCACUUUUAGGGUACUUUGAGACUCGUGGACAACUCCGUUCGGCGAAUCGAAGGAGCAUGUGACGGUUCGGUGGGUUUGGCCUAGCCACACAAUGAGAAAAUCUCAUUGGUGUUGAUUUGAGUACUGUUAAAUGUUUAUUCAUGCAUUUCCAUGCUAGAUACAUUUAUUAUGAUUUUUAGAAGGCUUAUUUGCCUACGUUACAUGUGGUGAAAAUUUCGGACCUCUAUGUAGUAGAGAGCUAGCAUGUGGAACUUGAACAGGUUUAGCAUCACAUUGAGACUUGGAAUCAUAGUUCCUAUGGUGAAAACGAGCAUCUCAUGCAUGCAUUUAAAGUUAUUUCUAUUUAAGAUUUAAAAGUUCCUAGUGAGCCAUAAAGGGGCUCGGGGAUUUGCACUACUUGUGUACAAUUGGGCUAAUGUCAUAAAGGGGCAUUGAGCUCGGGUUAUGUGUGAAUUUAGUGGAUAGUGCCAUUGAGAGAGUUGGAGUGUGCUUGUUCAUCGAAAUGUCUAAGUGUCAUAAAGGGGCACUAGACUUAGUGAAUAUUAGAAUUUCACAUUGUGACCUAGAACUAGAUCUUCGAGAUGCUAGUGAAUAUUGCCAUGUUAGAGACAUGAUGAUUGGGUAUUUGAGACGUUGACUUUGCUUGCUUGCCAUUUGUGCUCAUUCGCACAUGCUUAUGAGGGUCGCUCCCUUCAAGCCGGCACUCCGGAGUUAGCCUAUGCGACUUAUGUAAGCCCGUGCGGUAUUGAGAAGCCUACGGGGUCGAGUGGGACAGACACAUUCCAAGAGUAGGGAUGUCGGGCUACCACAGGCACUUAGGCGGCACAAGCUGGACUACCUUUGGUAGGUCCUUAAUUGGAAAUGAAAAUCGACACGGUGUUGAGUUUAUUAUGAUCACUACUAGACAGAGAGUGGUAGUAGGAUUACAUGGACUUACUUCUAGCAUAGUUGUGGACAUUUGGGUAUUCAUACAUACAUGUAGUAUGCUAGGAGAUGUUGUUUAUUGCAUCCUUAUAUGCAUUGUAGUCAUGACAAAGUACCACUUUCAUAUCUGUAUAAAGUAAAUCAUGAUAUUACUUGUGAACAUGUAGAUAUAUAUUAUCCAUGACAAGAUAAAGUCGCAUUAUAAAUGCCAUGUUUAAUUGCAAGCCGUAGCUUAGCAUCUUAAUUAUGCUUUCUUAUAUGCAAUUUACUCGUUACUAUUAUUGUUAGACUUACCCUUUCUUUUGGGGUCUAGUGGUGCAUUGAGCUGAGGUCAGUAAUUGCCCAUUGGGAACUAUAAAUUAUAGUUCUCACGCCCUCUGUUUUAUGUUUUCUUUCAGAGCCUUCCACGCCGGGAGAGGCUAGGGAUCGAGGAAAGGGCGUGGCUUCGAGCUAGCUCUUCAGCGAGUGACGAGUCGCUAGGUGGUCUACCUCUCGAUGUUUUUAUUUUGUGAGAGGUUGAGAGUUGUACCCGUAUAUGUAUAGAGACCACCUUUCUUUUGGAUCUUGGUAUUUCUUUUGAGGUGUUAGUAUUGUAUCACCUUAUGCUUUACUUUGUUUAGUUAUAUUUCUUUUACUCUGAUUUAGAUGAUAGAACCUUACUCGCUCUGAUAUCGUUAGUUGUUAUUAUUCUAUUCGUUCUAUUUCUUGCCUUUACUUCCGCUUUGUUGUAGACGCCUUAUAUGUGUAGACAUAUGGCGGGUCUGGGCACGCCGCCGGGAGGGCCUCCGCCGGUCCCGGGACGUGACACAUACAAUCAGUUGAGUUUUUGGUUACAGUAGUAGUUUCGUUCUUACUCAGUUAUUAUUCUGUUUCUAUUACUACUGUAGUUGCUCUUAUAUCAUAUAUAUAUCUUGUUUAUCUAUCUCCAUUGGUUUCUGGUGAUUACAGUUUGCCUUCGUGGCUCUGUCGUGCCCAUUGGAAAACCAUGGUUGCGAUUUCUCACCCUCCAUUUCCCCCAGGUGACAUGGACGAGGUGUUGGAUUUUGGGCUCGACAGGAGGACGAUCUAGCUAGUCUGGUAUAGCAACUGUGACCCUGGUUACUUUCAUUUUGGCACUUAGUAGUUUUAAUAAUAAAUGGUUCAGUUAGAUGAUCAUAUUGAUGUUUGAAUAUUCGUGAAUUGGUUUUAGUGGAUGAUUUACUAUGAUGCAUGAGAUUGGAGUUUUCAGAUCUGUGGUUUUUGGUUCUCGUAAUUAUGGAUUUACGCAUCGUGGUUUUCUACCCCUCGAGGUAGCUGGUUUUUAAAAUAGAGUUUCCGUGUGGGAAACAAUUUAAAAAAGGUUUUCGAAUGAUUUUCAUGGAUGAUUUGAAUUAGAGUUUAAAAACAAAGCUUUCGGAUGGGGAGCACUUUUAAAUAGGAUGAUUGUUGUACUGUGCAUUACAUCAUCCAGCGCCUAAGGAGUGCUUAGAGGCAUGCAUCAUCUCUAAGGAUCGUUAGCUGUAUGAAAAUGCAUAUCAUGAAAUGGUUGUUGAUUGGUAAUUGUAGAUUGUAGUUGAGAUCCUGAUGUGCCUAUUGGUACGCCGUGCAAAUACAAAGGAGACUCUGUCCGAGUGGACAGAUGAACUUUUUAUUUGUGGCGGGUCUGUAUGUCACGUGGGCCGGGUUGAAAAAAAAGGGCACGUUUUCCGCAAUUCUGAUUUCAAAAUGGUAUGGAUUCUAAAAAGGCUUUUAAAAUCGGCCCCGGGGCAUGACAAUCCCACUCCCUUGGAGGGCAGUCAGGCAUUCUUCUUUCCAAACCAUAAGAAGCGUAGGGGAGUUUAUUCUAGCAUGCAUUUGCAGAGGAGAAGUGGAAGAAGUGCGGCCGAGAUACAUGGCGUUAGGGUCUGGAAGUGGAAGAGGGAGGGGGGAUGAGGGAGGAGGGAGCUAUGCGAAGGUAGUAGUGCAAAAAAAAGGAUCUAAGUGGUGUAACAUAUUCCUAAAUAGUGCAAUGAUUUAAAGAAAAUGGUGCAACGAGUCUAUAACCAGAGAAAAAUUUUUCUUAAAUUAGGUCAUCGUACUUCUCAUCCUCAGUCGUUGUGGCAGCGGCGGGGGGCGGCAUUCGAGAUGUGCAACAUAAUGCUUAAACGAUUAAAGAAUAUCGUGCAACAUCUCUUAUAAAAGCUUACUUCUUGUUUUAGCAGUACAAUAAUAGUGCAAUGUAAAACAUGAAUAACAGUCCAACACGGAGAAAAAUAGUGCAACUAAGCUUGUAAGAGUAUAGUGCAGUCGUAAUAAUAGUGCAACAUUCACUGUAAUAGUGCAAUGCAGUUCCAACUAGUGUAAUAUAAGAGUAGAACACUGACUGGAUUGUUCUUUCUAAACUUAAUAGUGCAACCCAAUAUAAAAUGGUGCAAUAUGCAGCUCUAAUUAGUGCAAGUCGUCACUAACUAUUGUAAAUAAGUGCGAAAUCAUAAGAAGCAUAGGGGAGUUUAUUCCAGCACGCGUUUGCAAAGGAGAAGUGGAAGAAGCAUGGCCGAGGUACAUGGCGUUAGAGUCUGGAAGUGGAGGAGGUAGGAAGGAGGAGUGAGGAAAGAGGAGGGAGUUAUGUGAAGGUAGUAGUGCAAAAAAAAGGAUCUAAGUGGUGUAAAAUAUUCCUAAGUAGUGCAAUAGUUUAAAAGAAAUGGUGCAACGAGUCUGUAACCAGAGGAAAAAAAUUAUUAAAUUAGGUGUAAUAUCAACAUUAAUGGUGUAAUAUUUGCCUAUCAUGCAAUGUGUCAUUAAGUAGUGUAAAAUUUUCUCCCUGAUUGGUGAUAACAUGAAAUUAAUAGUAAAAACAGGUUUAUAAAUAGUGUAACGAUGAUCAAAACAGUGCAAAAUUCUUUGCUAAAGCGUGUAACAAUUCACUAAGAAGUGCAAUUUUUUCUCUGUAUUUGGUGCUAGCAUGAACAUAAUAGUGAAAAUAAGUUCGAAAUUGAUAUUAUACUAUGACAAAAAUAGUGCUACUUUCUUUGCUAAAUAGUGUAACAAGUUCGUAAGCAGUCCAAAGGGCACGAAAAUAGUGCUUAUGUUUCAUCGUGCCGUCUAAAUGGCGUGGUGUACAGUCUUGCCACCUCCGUGGCCGACAUACUGAGCAAUUCUGCUCUUCUACCAGCACCAACAUCAUCGCCAACGCCUAUUAGAAGUAAAAAGAUUAAAAAACGGUACGAAAGCGUGUAAGUACCAACCCCCUCACCGUCUAAAUCCUCUAGGCGCUCCUCACAUAGUGCCAAAAAAGGUAGCACUAUUUUCGUCAUAGUAUUUAGCAAAGAAGGUAGCACUAUUUUCGUCAUAAUUAAUUAGUUCAUUAAGUGAAACAAUAUUACCAUGCAACCUAUUCAAUGACAAAUUAGAAAAAAGAUUCUAAAAAUAUUGUCGAUAUGAUCUUCUAUCACAUGAGUAUAGAGAAAUAAAUAAGUAAAGUGUAAAAAAUAAAAAAUAAACAAAACAAUAUGAAAUUAAUUUAUAAUUUAUAUUAUUAUAAAAUAACAAAUUACAUAAUUAAAAAACGUUAUCGUUUGUCAAGAUUAUAGUAUUCUUCCAAAUCUCUCUGGAUGCACAAUAUUUCCUACUAAAAUUUCUUUCUCUUCCAAGUUGAAGGUCCAAUUGAUGUCAUAUCUAUGACAUUAUUAGCUCCUUAUAUAGAAAAAAAAAUACUCAAUAAAUUAACGAAAUAAUUUAUAACUAGUGAAGGAGCCCGCGCUUUGCAACAGGUAGAAACCGUAGUAGUAAUUAAUAAUAAGAAAAUAUAAAACAUUCUUUUGUGUAUCCCACUUGGAAUAUCCUCUAAAGGUCGCGGCGGAAAGGGAAAGUGGGCGCGCAUUAGUGAGGAAAAGGGAGGGAGCGAGGAAAGGAGGCGAUAGUGUAUAGCAAUAAAUGAGAAAUAGAGAAUUGAUGAAUAGAUUGGAGAUAAAAAAUUAAAAGUCUGGUGGAGGAAAUGAAAAGGGCCAUAAUGAAUAAUUGGAGAUAGAGAGGUUAGGAUUGUAGAUGGUAGUGGGACCAUUUAAAUAUAUUAAUUAGAAGUUUGAUAGUCGAAUCAUUUGCAUUAAUUGAAAAUAUAGUGAGACUAUUUAAAUACACUAAUUAAAAGUUUGGUUAGUGAGACCGUUAAAAUAUAUAUUGAAAGUUUAGUGAAAGAAAGAAGAAGGGUCACAUGCUAGUGAGGGUGAAGGAGAACUUGCCACGUAGUAACAAACAUUGGAGAUUCAUGUAGGUUAAUAGAUAUAUUUAAUACUUCAUUAAUCUAUUGGUAGUGGAAUCCAAAUGAUUGAAAAAACUGAUAAAUUAAUUAUUUAGAAUUCAUCUUUUUAUUAUUUAGAGUGGAAGAUGAAAGGAUCUGUUUUAAAAAAGAAAACUGAUAAACUAAUUAAUUUCUCUAUUAAAUUAAAAAAAUUUAAAACUACUCACUUUUAGGAGGAUAGGCGGCUCUUCAUCUUCUACGUUACUUAAAGGCCAACUAUUAUUAUGAUUAGGGAUGCAAACAGGGCGAAUCUCGAGGCGGAAGCCCUGCCCCGCCUUCCGCCCCGACUACCAAAAUCCCGCCCCGCCUCCUGCCCCGAAUCGGUGACAGGUUAAAAAAUAUAUCCUAUAAUCUGCCCCGCCUUAUAACCCGCCUCCCGUCAGCGCCCCGAAUCCGCUUCGCCAACUAAUAUUUUUUAUAAAAUUAUAAUAUUAUUAAUAUUUCGUAAAAUAUAAAUUAAUACUUUUUAAUAAUAUUAUAUAUAUAAUUAACAAUAUUAAUUAUAAAAAUUAAAAAUAUCAAUCGCAAUUCGAAGAAAAAUUCAAAAGUUUCAAAUAUAUGAGAAAUGAUAGUACUAAGUUAUUUGUAUUUUGGACUUUUUUUGUAAAUACAUUAUUUUUUAAGGAUAUUUUUAAAAAAUAUAAAUGAUUUUCGGGGCGAAUUCGGAGCGGAUUCGGGGCGGAUCGCGGCGGGGCGGAUUCGAGGCAGAUCAAAAUUUCUCCUAUUUCCUGCCCCGAAUUUGUCUUUGAUCAUAAAAUUACCCUAUUUCCCGCUCCAAAUUCGUUUAUUUUCUCUCAUUUACUGCCCCAUUUGGGGCGGAUCGGGGCGGGAGCUCCACCAACCCGAAUUCGUUUGCAUCCCUAAUUAUGAUGUGCAUGUGAAGAAAAAGAAGUACUCAACAGAACAAAUAUAAAGUUCAAUUCUAAUUGAUUUUUAAAAAUUUUAAAAUUUAAAUCCAAACCAAAGUAAUCUACACCAUUAAAAGAUCCAUCUAUAGAAAUUAUAAUUUUUUGGGUAAACUUCAAAAAUCACCCAUGUGGUUUCGCAUUUUCUCACUUUAGUACCCUGUGGUUUAAAGUGUAUCAAGUUAGUGCCCUGUAAUUUUAUUUUUAUUUUUUCGUCAGCUUCUUCGUUAAUAUUUCGUUAAAUUAUAUACAAAAAACUUCAGAUACCCCACGUAGGUUUAUCGAAUAUUCACUUUAGUACCUUUUAUGUAACACACUGGAUCUUUGCAAAUUGCAAGGUUCGAGUGUUUGAUUUGUGUUUCAAAUUUUUUCAUACUUUCUGGAGAGUCGUUAACAGUGUUCCGACCUAUGGUUCACAUCCCGAGAAUCGAUGUUUGAAACUUAGCACCAAAUCUCUAAAGUGAAAAUUGUUGGCUGCUCUUGGGUUGGACUCUGUAGAGCAGAGUACCAAUACAGCAUCGGGCCUGUACCUGAACCAGACCUGGUACCAGUACAGCAUCGGACUUGUACCGAUACCCAGUGUGUUUUUCUGCAAACUCGAGGCUCGGGUUUGCGAGUACAGUGGCUUGGUACCGGUACUCUUUCCCGUGUACCGGUACGCAGUGCAAAUUGUGAACUGCUUAUUUUUUAGGGGUGUUUUUGAUAUUGUAGCAUCUCUAUAUAGCAUCCCAUGCCCUUUAGUUGUUUCCUUGAGCUUGGAAACACAGUAGAGAAGGUAGGGAAGCCCUCUACUUCCUCCCUUUUGUUUUCUUUGAUUUGUGUUGGGAUUUUUGAGGUUUAAUCACCUCCUUUUGUCUCUUGUUGGUUUUUGGUGCCAUUUCCACCAUUGGAGAAGCUUUGAUUUCGUGAUUGGAGCUUGAUAGAGGAAGGAUCUUCAACCCUAGUUGAUUUCAAGCCUUGUUUGAAGCUUCUAAAGUGGUUAAUUGCUUACCUCUCCUCUCUAGAUCAUGAUUCUCAUGAUUUUUGUAUAGAAACCCUAGAAUGUGAAAUUUAGGGUUUAUUUUGGAGAUUUUUGAUUUGUAGCUUCUAGAACCUAAUUGAUUGGUUUAGAACCUUUGUUUAGAUUGGAUUUUAAGGGAUUUUACUCUCAUUUGGAGAUUGAGAGAGAUUUUCAUCAUACAAGGUGAAUUUAUGCCAUUUUCUUGGGUUGAUUAAUGUUUGAUCUUAGGGUUGUUCGUUUGUUGCGUUUAACUCUCUUAAUAUUACCUUUAGGGAGCUAGGAGAGUAGUGGACACCUUCGUCGGCGCAAACGAAGGGUUAUGAGGAGUCUUGGUGGGUUUGACCUCAUCGAAAUGAGAAAAACUCCACCUAUGUCAAUUUUUAAUUGUCGUAAAAUAGAAAUGCAUACAUAUUCAUACUAGAUAGAGUCUACGAGAAUUUUAAAAUGCUUAAUAUACAUGUGCUAUAUUUUAUGAAAAUUACCUCUAUAUAGUAGAGAGAGAUAUAUGCAUUGUUAGCAUGCAUGAGAAUAACAUUCUAUUAUAUGGUUUGGGAAUCAUGUUCUUGUAAAGAAAAUGUAGCACACUGGACCUUUGCAAAUUGCGAGGUUCGAGUGUUUGGAUGUAUUUUGAGCUUUUCCACACUUGGUGGAGGGUUGUUGAAUGUUUUCCGACCUAAAAAGUUCGAAAACUGAAACUCUGGGCAAGUCCUGAGAGUUUUUACUCUCGGGGACCGGUCCCUGGAAGGAGAGACCGGUCCCCGAGUGAGCAGUGUUGCGGCAGCCCUGAGGCAACCGGUCCCUUGCGGGCGAGAUCGGUCCCCGAGCGCGCCUUCGUAGUGAGAGACCGGUCCCGCGCAGGGAGAGACCGGUUCCCGAACGCUGGUUUUUCGGUUUCGCAGCGAGAGACCGGUCCCGCGCAGGGAGAGACCGGUUCCCGAACGCUGGUUUUUCGGUUUCGCAGCGAGAGACCGGUCCCUACUGGGGAGAGACCGGUCCCUCUGGGCGAAAACUGCCCAGACCGGACUGUUGCAAUAAUGGAUUUUUGAGGGGCCUCACUGGAUUUUGUUACACUAGAUGGGUUUAUUAGCCAUUUCCCUCUCUUCCCUCCUCAUUUCUCACCCUCACCCUACACCUUCUAGAGAGAGAAGGAGGAGAAGGAGGAGAAGAAGAAGAGGGGUUUGCUUGAGGGAGCUUGGAGCUUAACCCGUUUCUCUCCUUUCCACCCUUGCUUGGCUUGGAGCUUGCUUGUAGAGCUUGAUGGUGGACCAAUCUUCAACCCUAGAAGAUUUGGAGCUUGUUUGGAGGCAUCUUGGGAGGUUAGUACUUGGAUUCUACCCUUUGAUCCUUGAUUUGGUAGGUUUUACCAUAUGGAACCCUAGAUUGGAUAUUAGGGUUGAUUUUUGGGGCUUUUUGAUCUAGGGCUUUUGGGGCUAGAUUGUUUGGAUUAGAACCUUCCUUGGGCUUGGAUUGGAAAAGAUUUAGCUCUCUUUUGAAGCUUGAGAGAGAAUUCCUACACAUUAGGUGAGUUUUAGCCCUUUUGCUAAGUUUGUUAAAGUUUGAUCUUAUGGUUGGUCGUAAUGCCCUCGUAUCUCUUCGCUGAUCACUUUUAGGGUACUUUGAGACUCGUGGACAACUCCGUUCGGCGAAUCGAAGAAGCACGCGACGGUUCGGUGGGUUUGGCCUAGCCACACAAUGAGAAAAUCUCAUUGGUGUUGAUUUGAGUACUGUUAAAUGUUUAUUCAUGCAUUUUCAUGCUAGAUACAUUUAUUAUGAUUUUUAGAAGGCUUAAUUUGCCUACGUUACAUGUGGUGAAAAUUUCGGACCUCUAUGUGGUAGAGAGCUAGCAUGUGGAACUUGAACAGGCUUAGCAUCCUAUUGAGACUUGGAAUCAUAAUUCCUAUGGUGAAAACGAGCAUCUCAUGCAUGUAUUUAAAGUUAUUUCUAUUUAAGAUUUAAAAGUUCCUAGUGAGCCAUAAAAGGGCUCGGGGAUUUGCACUACUUGUGUACAAUUGAGCUAACGUCAUAAAGGGGCAUCGAGCUCGGGUUAUGUGUGAAUUUAGUGGAUAGUGCCAUUGAGAGAGUUGGAGUGUGCUUGUUCAUCGAAAUGUCUGAGUGUCAUAAAAGGGCACUAGACUUAGUGAAUAUUAGAAUUUCACAUUGUGACCUAGAACUAGACCUUCGGGAUGCUAGUGAAUAUUGCCAUGUUACAGACAUGAUGAUUGGGUUUUUGAGACGUUGACUAUGCUUGCUUGCCAUUUGUGCUCAUUCGCACAUGCUUGUGAGGGUCGCUCCCUACAAGCCGGCACUCCGGAGUUAGCCUAUGCGACUUAUGUUCGCUCGUGCGGUAUUGAGAAGCCUACGGGGUCGAGUGGGACAGACACAUUCCAAGAGUAGGGAUGUCGGGCUACCACAGGCACUUAGGCGGCACAAGCUGGACUACCUUUGGUAGGUCCUUAAUUGGAAAUGGAAAUCGACACGGUGUUGAGAAUGGUUAAUCACUACUAGAUAGGUUUAGUAGUUGAAUGACAUUUAUAUGCUUUUAGCAUAGGGUUGAGACAUGUAGUAUACUUGAUAGUCUCCUUUUUGCAUUAAAGCAUACUUGGUUGCCAUGACAGAACUUAUGCAUAAUGUAUUCAUAAAGGUUAAUGAGUUACUAUUUUGAUAUCGUAGAUGUACAUCACCAUGACAUCAUGCUUAUUGGAGACAUAGUAGUAUAGCUUUUCAUUCAUGCUUUCUUCCAGCAGUUUGUUUGUGUGUUUGCUAUUUAUUGCAUAUUACUAUAUGUCGUUACUUACCCUUUUCUUUUGGGGCCUAGUGGUGCAUCGAGCUGAGGUCAGUAAUUGCCCACUGGGAACUAUAAAUUAUAGUUCUCAUGCCCUCUUUUUCUCGAUAUUUUUCAGAGCCUUCCGCGUAGGGUGAGGCCAGGGAUUGCGGAAAGGGAGUUGCUUCGAGCUAGCUUCCUUCGAGGACGAGUUACUAGGUGGUCUACCUCUGGGCGUCUUAUUUUAUUUUGCGAGAGGUUGAGAGUUUUACCAGUGUACUAGAGACCGCCACUUUUGUACCUUUGAGACGGUUAUUGUACUACUUAUGGUUUCUUUUAUUGUCUAGCUUUAUUUAUUCACUUUGGUGUAGGUGAUAGAAUUUCUACUCGCUCUGAUAUCACUAGUUGUUACUAUUCUAUUUGUUUUAUUUCUUGCUUUUACUUCCGCUUUACUAUAGACGCCUUAUAUGUGUUGACAUAUGGCGGGUCUGGGCACGCUACCGGGAGGGCCUCCGCCGGUCCCGGGGCGUGACAGAAAAUGACUUAUGUUAUAUGCUCCUGAACUUAGAACUCAUAUUUGACAUAGUGGAUAAAAAUGUCAUAAAGUGGCAUGGAACAUAGUAAAUGUGAAACCUUUACUUGAUGACAUAGUGAUAGGCCAUUGGGUCACUCGUUUUUAUGCCAUGUUUUAGACAUGAUGACAUUGGACUGGAGACGAAAAUUUACGCUUGCUUGCCAUUGUGCUCAUUCGCAUAUGCUUGUGAGGGUCGCUCCCCACAAGCCGGCUCUCCAGAGAUAGCCAUCGCGACAUAAGCUCGCCCGUGCGGGAUUGAGCGCCAAAAUAGGAUGCCGUGGGGGAGGCUCAUUCCUAGGGUAGGGAUGUUGACUAUCACGGGGCCAUAAGGCACAGCACAAGCCGGACUACCCACGGGUAGGUCCUACAUGACUGGAAUACUAUUGAACUAAAACGCAAAGUGGACAUUAGACAAAUUAGUAAACAAUGACAUUUCACUAGUUAUAUCGUGGACAUCAUGUUUCUUAUACUUAUGCGUAUUCAUGUUAGAAUAACAUUUAUACUUAUGUAACUUCAUACUAAGCAGAGGCAUAGUGGUAUAGCAAGUUUAAUCAUGUUUAUCAUACAUAUUAUACAUUCUAGUUAAAAGUUGAACUUACUACUUUUGCUUUUUUUUUGCCUAGUGGUGCAUUUUCGCUGAGGUCAGCAAUUGCCCACUGGGAACUAUUGUUUAAUAGUUCUCACGCCCUCUAUUUUGUUGUUUUUCUUACAGAGCCUUCCACUCCGAGAGAGGCUCGGGAUCGCAGCAAGGGAGUUGCCUCUAGUUAGUUGUGAGGAGCUUUGCUUUUAGGUGGUUCACCUCUCUAUUUUUGUAUCUAUGUAGAGAAUGAGAGUUUUGUAUCCAUGUAUAGAGACCACCACUAUGAUACCUUUAGCACUUGUAUUUUGGGAUUUCAUGUUGUACUACUUUAUGCUUAUGUUAGUGGAUUAGUCCCUUUAUUUACCGCAUUAUUCUAGAAUCUAAUUGUUGUAUAUUCUGAUACUCCUAGAUGCUCAUUUAUUAUUAUUUUAUUUAUCGUUUUGUUGUAGACGCCUUAUAUGUUGUAGGCAUAUGGCGGGUCUGGACACGCACCGGGCGGGCUUCCGCUGGGUCUCGGGGCGUGACUUUUUAGUUUUAACUUUGUCACUUAUUUAACGAAAAAAAUUAGUGAAAUCAAUAAUAAAAGAAUAAAAAUAAAAUCAUAGGACACUAAAUCAAUACACUUUAAACCACAGGUACUAUAGUGAGAAAGUGUGAAACCACAUGGGUAGUAUUUGAAGUUUUUCUAAUUUUUUAUACUUAAUAUAAUAAACUUUAGAAGCUAACAUUGCUGAUUAUUACAUAUGCAUAAGAAUUAGAUUUUUUUUUUAAUUAUAAUAUUUAGAGAUUGUCCACAAAUUUAUAUAAAGACACUUUAUAUGUUGAGAUCAUAUCUGUUAAAUUAAAUUUUAAGUAUAUUAAAUUUUAAAUGCAUCCUCAGUUUGCGAUCUCGUGGUUCAAACAGCUUCACUUUUUACUUUGCCAUCUAGUGAUUCAAAAAGUUACACUUUGUCCUCUUGUGGUUUAGUGUAUUUUUCAAUUUGCCACCCUAUAGUUUAUUAAAAAUUUUUGUUUUGCCAUCCUAAUUCAUAUAAAAUUUUUUAAUAAAAUGAAAAUUGAAUCAUAGGAGAGAUUAGGUGAAACUUUUUGAACCACAUAGGUGAAAAUGAGCAAAACCAUAGGGGGCAAUUUGAGGUUUAUCCAAAAAAGUUAUAAUUCGGGGCACAAUUUUAUUUACUCCUUUAGCAUUUAAAGUGAAAGAUAAAAGGAUCCAUUAUAACGAAGAAAACGGUUAUACUUACAAAUUCCUCUAUUAAUUGAAAAACUCCUUUAAAUUAUUCACUUGGAGGAGAAUAGAUGGCUCUUCAUCUUCUUUAUUACUUGAAGGCCAAUAAACUUGAUGUAUACAUCAUAAGCUUCCUAAUUGAAUUUUAAAAACCUAAAAUUUAAAUCUAAACCAUAUAAUCUACACAAUUAAAUGAUCAAUUUAUAAAAAUUAUAAAUUUAUACACCUAAAUAAUGAGCGUUAGAAGUUAAUAUUGCUUAUUGCAAAGGAUUGAUUGUCAUGCCCGGGCCCCAGCGGAAGCCUACCCGGCACGUGCACAGACCCGCCGUAUACACAAGGAACCCUUCGGUGCACACAAGGCGUCUACAUCAAAACAUUCAAUGGAGAUAACAAGGAAUAAGGUUUUAACAUGGUAACCAGAGCAUAAGUACUAGACUGAGCAAAUAGACUACAACUAGAGGAUAAUAACAACAAGUUAAUACGAUAAAGAGAGCAACUAUCCAAAAUGUACAUCAAGUAUAAUCCAAAAGAAUACAUCUGUCACGCUCCGCGACCGCCAAUUUGGUCGGUUCGGGGACGUCGAUCAGACGCCGAACAGACAGAGCCUCUCCUACCCGCCCAAGGCUAACAACAACGAGAUCAAGUAUGUCAACAGUUGCCUAGGAAACAAUAACCUCAUACAUGAUCUAAGCAAGUACUAAUACAAGCAAUCGACAAAAGAGAGAAAGAUCUAGCUAUUACAAUUCCAUUCAACAUAUACAUCGAGUUUACAUUUUUUGUCACGCCCCGGGGUCCCUUUUAGUUUAUAACAUAGCGGAAAAGCGUCUGAAUUUUUUUUUUUUGAAAAGCUUGACCCCAGAGUAUGCCAGAUCCGCCACAAAUACAGAAAAUCUACUGUUCACACGGACAGUCUCCCCUGUAUUUGCACGGCGUCGCACCAGUACAAGAACUAACCCAGGUACAACCACAACCAAAUGGAUAUAUAAAUAACCAACAAUUAUAUAUUCAUACACCAUUCACAUCACAGGUUCACAUUUAUAUAUUCAAUAUUUAAACAUAAAUCCAUAUCUAUCAGUUAAAAUGUUUCCAACUCAGAAACAGGUUUUGAAAUACUAAGAUACAAAAUCUACAGAAAACCUUUUGAAAACUGUUCCCUACACGGGAACUUUUAUCUUUUAAAAACGCUACCACGAGGGGUAGAAAACCUUUCCAUUUUACAAAAUCCGCAAAUCCGUUUAUUACAUUCAUGAAAACUCAUAUUUUCAAAUGUAAUAAAAUAUACUGAACCAUAUAAACUAUCUAAGCUAUAACGACAUAAUAGUAAGGGUAGAACUAAACCGAAUAACCUGGGUCGGAAGUUCUAUCGACCGCUACGUAUCUCACGUCUCGUCUCAACCCUCACCGCCCGUGGUACCUGAAAAAUAGUGGGGGAGGUGAGAACAUGUAAACAUGUCUCCCCUCCCAGUGGGUACCGCAAGCCGAAGAAGGCGAGGAGUACUCACCGGAUCAGGAAGAGCUAUACAACAACACGGGUCAGUGAAAAUACAAUAGGAACAAUAAUAAACGAAAGAGAUGUAUAAGGUAAUGAGCAGAUAUACUGAAUACAAUAGCAAUAAACUGAAAGAAAGUAGGAACUAAACUGAAUAGCGGCUACCGCUACUAUAACUGGAACAGAAAGCAUACAUGAAUAUCUACUAUAGUAGCAAGACAACUAUAAAGCAAGAAUUGUAAGUAUGCAAGCAACAACUGCUACUAUAGACAUAUGCGUCAACCGAACGUAUAGACCAAAUAUACCCAAUCUGUACUGGCCGUAUUGGUACCCAACACCUCAGGCCCAUGCCACAUCUGCUCUAAACAGAAACAAGCCAUAUUGGUACCCAACACCUCAGGCUGAAAGCAUAUAACCACACUAGGGCUCACGGGUUGACACAAGCAACCACUUUUCCGGAAAAGAACACCCUCUUGCGGUGGAUCAGACCGCUGGUGUUCGUGAAAUGCGAACGAGCUGGGCGAUCAAUGCAGAAUGCUCAAUAGCCAAACGUCAGCAACUAGCCGACAAUCACUGCCCUUCGGGGCUCAUCGACCGUAUAGGUCAUCAACUGUAAGGAAGCACAAGAACUGACCACUCAGAUCAACUAGGAUAUAUGCACAACGAAUCGACGAAUAGGUCAUCAGGGUGUAUCAAUAGAAUCCAGAACUACCGCCGGCCACUAGCCAACAAUCCAACCCCUCUAGGGUACAUCGACCACAACGGUCAUCGAACGACAGAAACAACAAGAGUCAUGAACUGACUGACUAGGUCACAAACAUGUCAAAUAGUGGAUAUGAGUAAACUAUAAUCAUCCGUCGGCAACUAACCGACAAUCUCACCCCUCAGGGUAUACCGACCUCAAUGGUCAUCGGACAACAAAGGUCAAGGAUCUCACCGAAUAGGUCACAAAUACGGAAUACUAGAAUCGACCGACUAGAUCACUGAUCUCACAGAUAAUCACGGAAUCGCUCUACUAUAAACAUAAAACAGGGUAUGCAGAAUAGCUAAGUAGAGCAACAAGAAAACAUGGUAUCACGUACAGAUAGACUAUGCUCCUACACAUGAACUAAGCAUGGAAACGUCUGAGUAGAGUAUAAUCAAACAACGUGGUGUAAUGUGAACAAUAGAGGUGAAAAGCUCAACAUAUAAUAUAUGCAUGGAUAAUAACAAAAGAGCAAGGGUAAGAAACCAUCACCGAGCAUGCACCACUGUACCAACGUCGGAUCGAAGUACCCACCUGUACGUGUCUGACGAAGAUCUCUCGACUGUGAAGACGAAACAAUCGAACCUACGAAAGAUCCAACGGGUUAGAACCUAACCCACUAACAUGUCUCGCUAACACACAAUCCCCACUCACCAGAACCACGAGAAUCGGUUUCCCAAAACCGAUUAACAAACAAGCCGGAAUUCCACUGUCGCUGACCUGUCAUUUUCGAACCCUCGAAACAACGCGUGUGACCAGCCAACAAGGCUCAGCGACGCUACAAUCAACCACGAGGCACCGUCGGAUGAAUUCCGAACCGAAACAGCGUUCUAUCGGCGGAUUUCGCCGAAAAACGCAUCAGAAAUCACUUUUCGAUUUCCGCAAGGGCUAGGGGCCUUGGAUGAUUAGUCCAGAGGUUAUCCUCAGCCCAAACAUGCUGCCAACAGCAGCUACAUCGAAGCAUAAAUCCUAAAGGCCCAUACUAUAGCCUGAAAUCUCAUUAUUUUAUGCGAUUUAUAGACUUUUCUGGAUCGUGCACGCAAACCAGAGAUUGAUUAAGCCAAUCAUCGCGCUCACUGAUAGGUUUCAGCAUGACGGAGGCCGUGCUUACCUUUCGGAGCACUGCCGGCAGCUGCGCUGCACACACGAGCGAUGCAAAUUCUAUGAAACAGUGCGCACAGCGCGAGGAUUGCUGUUAACUCGCUAACUAAGGCAUCGUUGCUGCUGUCGGAGGUGAGCACGAUGUUCAACACGAGUUGUAGAUCAUCGUGCUCACUUCCCGAAGCUUAGGAGGCUUGUCGGAUCACCGGAAAGGUGACCGGAACGUCGGAAUUCACUACUGGAACAUAAAUAGCCCUUACCAGACCCGAGGAGAGCUAAGGUUGGUCGCCGGCGGCUGGGAGGAGGGUGGUUCGGCCGAAGGAGGGAGCAGUCAGUCCGAGAGGUCCGGGGAAGGUUGUAACACACUGGACCUUUGCAAAUUGCGAGGUUCGAGCGUUUGAUUUGUGUGUCGAGCUUUUCCAGACUUUCUGGUAGGUCGUUGACAGUGUUCCGACCUAUGGUUCGAGUCCCGAGAAUUGUGGUUUAAAGCUGUGUACCAAAAUCCAAAAAGUUGGAUUUUUGGUCAGCUNAUUUAGUGGAUUUACAGCUUUUCCUCAUCCUUUGUUGUAGCAUUUAGACAUUUAUUAUGCUCUGAUACUCCUAGAUGUCUUUUAUUAUUGCUUUUAUUAUCGUUGUUUUUAGACGCCUUAUAUGUUGAAGACAUAUGGCGGGUCUGGGCACGCGCCGGGCGGGCUUCCGCUGGGUCCCGGGGCGUGACAAAGGUGCUGGCCGGCGGCGGGCGGCAACCGGUGGCGCGGCGGCUGAGAUCCACUCCACCCACUACCUCUCGGGUUCGUGCUUCCCGGUGACGCGACGGCGGCCGGAGGAGGUCGGGGCGGCUACGGUGCGGCGCCGGAGGCCGAGGGGAAGGUGGUGUACUCCCCAGUGGGCGGCGGCGGCACUUGGAUGCCGAGCGGGCCCGACCUUGGCCCGCACGGGUCUGGGUGGCUGCAGGAGAUCUCAGCGGCGGUCGGCGGCGCGCGGGAACGGCGGGGGACGCGCGCGACGGGUUUUCGGAGGUCGCUGGGGCCGACUCGAGGGCGGUGUGGCCGAUGGGGAGUGACGGCGGCGCGCGGAUACAGAGAUCACCCAGGCUCGGCCUGGGUGACUGCAGGUGGCCGCAGCAUGCUUGGGCGGCGCCGGCGGCGUGCGCAGGCGGUGGGAACGGCCGGUGACGGCGCCGGAAGGUAGAUCUCGGCCAAGGGAAGGCUUCCAAAGGUGUUUUGAAGUUUCUCUGGGUUGCAUGGCCAAGGAGGGUGGAGAAUAGGUAAAGAAGUGAUGGAGGAGGGGUUUUCCGGCGGCCGGAGCACCUGCCGGCGGCUGGGGCACGCGCACGAGGUGGGCAGGGGAGAGCUGAGGCGGCUGGGGUUCGGUUGAGGAAGAGGGAGGCCAAAAGCUAGGGUUUCCUCAUGAAACCCUAGUGCAACCACUAUAUACAUAUGUGCAUUUUGCAAGAUAGUCCUCCCAGGGGUAAUAUUCUCAGUCAAGUCCCUCACAGCACACGUAUUUUACACAUACGCAUCUCUAUGUCCGAUCUCACGCGAUUCGGCACAUAAAAUAUAAGGGUUUCGCGCGAAAUACCAAAAAUGCCGCUUUGACCUCUUAGCGAAAACUUUGUGAUUCCCGAAGAUCCGUCUGUCAGAUUUUCGAACGGAUUGCGCCAGCGCGAUCAGCACCACGGAGACAAUAAACCUACGAUUUUGGUUCACAUCGAUCGGUCACGGAUUCGCGACGAAACCCGUCUGCUCUCCAAUUUCCAAAAACCACACACAUAUACCAAUGUGUAAUCCCACUAAAUCCUAGAUUCAAAUUCAAAUUUGAAUUCCCUACCACCAGUAGGUACCAAGAACAUCUCUCACCCAUCUCCAGAUCACUUGUACAAAGCACGAGGAGUUUUAAAAUGCACGAAAAGCAAAGAAUGAAAACCCUAUGCACGAAAAGCAAAGAACGAAAACCCUCUUUUUGAUAAAACUCCUUUUUCUCAAAACCCGUGCAUCAGAUCUGAAAUCCGUUAAUGCCAUUGGUUCCAGAAUAGCUGAACCAAUCAAAACGGGCUAUUGGAUCGCUAUGAACGGAGUCCGAUACGCGUCGAAAGCCAACUCUACUCCGUGGCUUCUCCGGAAAACCGGAGUUACUAUUCACUUAAGUGAAAACUAAUAAUCGUGUAACUUCUCCGUUCUAACUCGUUUUCUCCUGAAACUUGACGAGUGCUUAUGUAAUUAAAUUACACACAUAAACAUCGUCAACAGAAAGUUUAGUUGCACUGUCAAAAUCUCAGUCCUUACAUUUUUCAUCUCGAAAAUGUAUACAUGUUUAUCACAACUCUCUAAAAUACAUAUACAUCAUGUCCUCUCAUCUAUACAGGGUGUACUAAUGCAUAAGGAAAGCUGCUAGCUAACUAGGGUGCUAUGCCCUUACCCCGGUCCUCGCCCGGUCUGCUCGAACUCGGCCCUGCAACCAAAGUGGGGUGAGAACUACGAAUAGUUACCAGUGGGUUCGGCCGCCGACUCCGCCGAUCUUCCCACUAGGUCUAAGCAGGCAUUAGUAGAUAGAUAAAUAGAUAUGAAAAUGAGCUGCUACAUAACAACAUGCUACUAUGCCUCAAUAAACAGAAUGAAUACAUGAACAUAGUAAUGUACUCUACUAACAUAAUACUAUGUCUCAAUUGCAUGAUAUAAAUGAAAUAACUACAUAGUAAUGAAACCUACUAUCAAGUACUAUGUCUAAUGUCCAAUCUCAUCUUGGCUAACCAAAAGGUUAUGCCCAAACUCACAUCUCAAAUCUCGCCGGUGAGUAGACUCUGCGCUACAAACACCCGAGACCGCCUGCUGGGUAAUCGUGUUACCCAAACGCGACAUCUUCUCCGGAGCUCACUACUUGAGGUGGAGCGACCACGCCAAAGUUACACAGACUAUGUGAGUACGAUUCAAUCCUCUCACUCGAGGAUAGUUAGUGCCUCUGUUUCACUAGUUCACAUACUACUACUUAGGAAAUCAUCUUAUUUCCUCAGUUCAUGUCAUCAAGUUGUAAGUAUUCCAACUACACUAGUCCAAAUGCCACUCUUUGGUUCACAUGCUACUACUCAGAAAAUCAUCAUCUAUUCCUAAGUUCAUGUCAUAGUGUUUCUACUACACUAGUCCGAAUGCCACUCUUUCAGUUCAUUUACAUGUCCAAGUUCAUCUUUUGUUCUUUGGCACUAUAGGAUUCUAUGUCAAGACUAAAUCCUCAUGUGUCCACUAAAUCAAGUGCUCAACUCACUACAUGAUUUCUACUAUGAAAACAUGCAAGGAAUUGAAGUACAACUACUUAACACAACCUAUAAUCUCCACUAAGUCCUCUUCUUAGAUCAACCCCUUGGGAGAGCUUCUAGAGAGAGAAAGGGAGAAAAAAAAAGAGAAGAUAAGUGUUUACUGGCUGUGAACAUAAGAGAGGGAGAUAGGGUUUAUUUAUAAGCUGCUAGAAUUGCAGAAAAGCCCCUCAAUAAUUGCUAUUUGCAACAUACUGCAUUCUGCAUUUUUCUGCACUUGGUACCGGUACGCGGGUUUUUUGUCACCGGUUUAACAGCUGUGCAGAGGCCAAGCCCGAGAGCUGCCUUCUCGGGUAGCUGGUCUGGUACCGGUACGCAUCAGAGGUGUCACCGGUUUAAUAGCCACAAUUACUCAAACCCGAGAGCUGCUACUCUCGGUCUGCUACGGGGUACCGGUACCACCAUGAUGUUUAACCGGUUACACAAUGCCCAGACUGCAGUUUAGCACUUGUUUGACUUCUAUUUCGCGCCGAGCAAUGCUAAAACUCAAUUAUCUCUUCUAGAACUCAACUUUGACCCUCCAACAUUAUUGAAAUGUCAAAUGGAACAUGUCCAAGCAUCUCUCUCGCCACGCUUUGGCCCUUUUGACCAAAAAUGGUUUAAUACGUCGGAGAAUCAAUAUCUGACAUCAUCCCCUCCUUAACAAGAGUUUCGUCUUAGAAACUAACUCAAUUCAAAUAAAAUUCAUACCUCAACUCAACUCCUCGAAGAGAUGAGGAUAGUGCUCCUUCAUUACGUCCUCAAGUUCCCACUUGACUUCGCGAUCGUCAUGAUUGCUCCACAGAACUUUGACGUAAGGAAUAUCGCGGUUUCUCAACUUCCGCACUUCUCGAGCAAGAAUAGCUACCGGAAACUCCUCAUAGCUCAUAUCCUCUUGUAAUUCCGGUGGCUCAAACAAUAGAGCAUGCUCGGGAUCAUGAAUAUACUUGCGAAGGUUGGAGACGUGAAACACGUUAUGAACAUCCGCAAGCUUCGGCGGCAAUGCGAGUCGGUAUGCAACCGCUCCAAUUCGCUCUAACACCUCGAAAGGUCCAAUGUACCGGGGACUUAACUUUUCCCGCACUCCAAAUCGUCUCACACCUCUCAUAGGUGAAACCUUUAAGAAGACGCGGUCUCUAACCGCGAACUCCAAAUCUCGCCGGCGCUUAUUGCAUAGCUCUUUUGCCUCGAUUGCGCUGUCAACAACCGUCGGCGAGUGAGGUGAACUUUUUUUCUGCUUUCCGCAAGACAUCGGGACCCAAUACCGCCCAUUUGCCCAUGUCACUCCAAUGUAUAGGAGAUCGGCACUUCCUCCCGUAGAGAGCCUCAAACGGUGCCAUCUCUAUACUAGCUUGGUAACUGUUGUUUUAGGUGAACUCGGCCAUUGGCAAGUGACUACACCAACUACCCUUGUAGUUAAUGACACACGCUCGCAAUAUAUCCUCCAAAACCUAGAUGGUCCUCUCUGAUUGCCCGUCGGUUUGAGGAUGAAAAGCGGUGCUAAACUUGAGUCGUGUGCAAAGUGCUUCCUUCAAGCUUUUCCAAAAGUGUGAAGUAAACCGAGGGUCUCGAUCCGACACGAUCGACUUCGAAACCCUGUGCAACCUCACCACUUCAUCAAGAUAUACCUGAGCAAGCUUGUCCCCUGACCAAGUAGUGUGGAUCGGUAGAAAAUGUGCCGACUUCAACAAACGGUCCACCACUACCCAAAUCGCAUCGUGGCCACCCGACGAACGGGGCAAUCCGACCACGAAGUCCAUAGCAACAUCCUCCCAUUUCCAAACGGGAAUAGGUAGACUCUGAAGCUUUUCCAUUGGAAACCGGCGCUUUGCCUUGACUUGUUGGCAAACAAGACAUUGCGCCACAUAGCGUCCAAUGUCAGCUUUCAUUCCCGGCCACCAAUAGAGCAACCUCAAGUCCUGAUACAUCUUGGUGUCGCCCGGGUGGACACUAUAGGGAGACUGAUGCGCUUCCUGCAAAACCAACCUUCGGACUUCUUCAUUUUCCGGCACGCACUACCGGUUCCGGUAUCGAAGCGCACCAUCGGUAUGAAUGUUGAAAUCUCCACUACGCCCACCAUCGAUGUCGCGUCGCGCCUUUUGGAGAUUCGGGUACGCAGAUUGCAAACCCUUGAUCUUCUCCAACAAGGUCAGUUGGACAACGAGAGCCGUAAGCAUAGACGGAACUUCCGGAGCCACAACCUCAAGAUCCAUUCGCCCCAUUUCUUUCCACAAGGGCACUUGAUUCGUGAUCAACAACGCGAGGUUCUCCGUCGAUUUCCUGCUAAGUGCAUCCGCUACCACAUUGGCUUUUCCGGGUUGGUAAAGGAUAGUAACAUCAUAAUCCUUUAAUAGUUCCAACACCGCCGCUGCCUCAUAUUAAGCUCUUUCUGCAUGAACAAGUACUUUAGACUUUUGUGGUCUGUAUAUAUCUCGCAAUGUGCACCGUAUAAGUAGUGCCUCCACAGCUUCAAAGAAAAGAUAACUGCGGGCAACUCUAAAUCAUGGAUAGGGUAGUUCUUUUCGUAGCUUUUCAACUAACGGGACGCAGAAGCGAUCACCUUCCCACCCUGCAUUAGAACACACCCCAAACCCAGAUAUAAUGCAUCACUCUAAACCACAAAGUCCUCACCUUGCACCGGUAGGGCGAGCACCGGAGUCGAAGUCAAUUUAUCCUUCAACUCUUUAAAACUCUAGUCGCACUCGUCGCUCCAAAUGAACUUGGUGCCCUUUUGCUUCAGACGGGUAAGUGGAAUAACUAUCUUCGAGAAUCCCUCCACGAACCGUCAAUAAUAGCCCGCUAAACCCAUGAAGCUACGAACCUCCGUCACAUUAGUCGUGCGAGGCCAAUCCUUGAUCGCCUCAACUUUUCUCGGGUCAACAGAAACUCCACCCUCAGAAAUAACAUGUCCUAGAAAUGCGACUUCACUGAGCCAAAAAUCGCACUUUUUUAACCUCGCAUAAAGCUUCUCCUCCCGAAGGACUUGUAGCACAAGCCUCAAAUGCUCCGCGUGCUCCUCGUCACUACGACAGUAGAACAAGAUGUCGUCUAUGAAGACCACGACAAAUCGAUCUAAAUAAGUCCUGAAUACACAGUUCAUCAAAUCCAUGAAUGCUGCCGGGGCAUUUGUGAGCCCAAACGGCAUGACCGUGAACUCGUAAUGUCCAUACUGCGUACGAAACGCGGUCUUUUGCACAUCCUCCGGCUUUAUCUUCAACUGAUGGUAGCCAGAUUGGAGAUCUAUCUUCGAGUAUACUCACGACCCCUGCAGCUGAUCAAACAAUUCGUCGAUACGGGGUAACAGGUACUUGUUCUUGAUAGUGACCUUGUUCAACUCGCGGUAAUCCACGCAGAGUCGAAACGAGCCAUGCUUCUUCCGCACAAAUAAAAUCGGGGCUCCCCACGGCGAUACACUCGGCCUGAUAAAUUCAUUGUCGAAGAGAUCUUGCAACUGAGCCCUCAACUCCUUCAAUUCUACCGGUGCCAUACGGUAUGGAGCCUUUGAUAUCGGCACGGUCCCGGGAGCCAAGUCUAUAAUGAACUCGAUUUCCUGAUCCGGCGGUAUCCCCGGUAACUCCACGGGAAACACAUCCGGAAACUCCCGGACCACCGACAUACACUCAAGUGCUGGAGUCUCCCGAUCAACCUCCACAACGGUCGCCAAAUAAGCCUCGCAACCGCUGCUAACCAGCUUCCUCGCCCUAGAUGCCGACACCGUCAUGCGAGCUCUGGCAAGCUCGAUAAGUAAACUCCUUCUGUUCUGGCUCACGAAAGAUAAUAACCCUGCUCUUGCAGUCGAUAAAUGCAUAGUACUUCGAGAGCCAGUCCAUACCCAGUAUCAGAUCGAAAUCUUUCAACCUCUUGAGCACCAACAAACGUGUCAGCAUAAUCUAGUUGCCCACUUGAACCGGACACGCCAAACACUCCUUUCGGAUAAUAAACGCGCGCUCGAGGGCGUCAACCCGCCAAGUACUUUUGCUCAGUUGAACCUCUAUGCCAUGCAUAUCAGCAAAUGGUCUACUGAUGAAUGAAUGCGUAGCACCUGUAUCAAACAUAGCUCUGGAGCGAACUCCAUUAACUAAAACCAUACCUGCCACGUCGUUGCGCUCCUCGGCCUCAGCAGGUUCCUUGGCUUGAGCGGCGAAUACCUGUCCGCUCGGAGUCGAUCUAGUCGCCUCAGAUUGACUAGCGCUAUAGCGCGUCUAGCAGAUACAGCAGUAGGUGGAGCUCCUCUAUAAUAGCCCGGAGUCGCCGGAGCUGAUGCAAUCGAUGGGGCAGGCGAGGUCCUCCUUGGACAGUAACGACUCAUGUGUCCCGGCUGGCCAGAAGUGUAGCAUCUCCCCUCCUUCUACUUGCAAUGGUUCGGGUCAUGAUCACCGCCACAAAUGACGCACCGCCGAGACCCACGACCUUUGGACUGUGUUCGCGGGUACUUCGGGGGCUUCCUUGUCCUUGACUGACCACCCGAACUAUCAGGGGCUCGCUUCUUACCCCCGUCCUUCUCGGACACCUCUCGCUCCUCAUGAAUGUGGGCAUUACCAUGCUCCGCCCACAACGCCCAAUCCAACACCUCUGAAAAGAUAGUAAGCUUGAGGAUGUGAACCGCCCUAUAGAUAUCCGGGCGGAGUCCUCACUCGAACUAGUCGGCUCGGUCCCUAUCGUCCCACACCACGUCGGGGAUGCAGUCGAUGAUGUGUGAGAACUCCCGCUCAUACUCUCCUACUGAGCGGUUACCGUGCCUCAGCUUCCUGAACUAAUCCUGGAGCUUCCUUUUCUCGCUAUCGGGAAAGUAGUUAGUGAACAACAACCCCCGAACUCCUCCCACGUCAACGGUGGAAGGUCGGAAGACUGAUCCCGCUUGAUCCGCUUCUGCCACACCUUCGCCGUCCGCUCUAAACAAUGAGUGGCGAGGUGUACCUUAUCCCUCUCCAACGUACAAAAAUCAUCGAACAGGGUCUCUAUCGAGUCAACCCACAACUCGACCAUCCACGGCUCGACCUUCUCUCGGUCGAACACUCGUGGAUCAAAUUUUCGGAACAUCACAAGAGCUGCAAGCGCGCGCUCCUUCUCCGCCGCUAUCACCGUACCUUCAGGAUUAGAAGUUCCUGAACCAGUAGCUACUACCGCCAUUGCGGCCCGUGCUGCAACCGGCAUAGCCGCUGUGGCCAUACCCUCUGUCGCACCAGGCACAACGACAGAGGGCGCGGGUCGUUCGACAUCCGCCUGAGCUGACACCUGUUGCGCCACCAAUUUCUGUAGCCUAGCGAUCUGAUCCUCUUGGUGCUGCAUUGCACCAGCCAUCGUAGAGAUCUGUGCUCGAAGUUCCCGCACUUCAUCAGAUCCCGACUGUUCGGGAACCUCGGGAGGUGGUGCCGGAAUGGAUCGCGUCUUAGGGCAUCCUCUCGGUGCCAUAGCUCCUGAAACGCAACAAAUUGGUUAAUCACAUUAACCCGUUAACUUCUCGCAAUUACGAGGCAAACGACUCAACAUCAAAAUCGGGCGGAAGCACACAAGUGUACUCAUUCUAGACUCUUAGCAUCAUGUUAUCGGCCGCCAAUACAACCACCUCGAGCCAAGAACUAAUACCACUUGAAUCCGUCUCUAUCAACAACUAGAGACAUACAACAACAACUUCGACCCAAUCGAAUCAACUUCCACCACCCGGCAUAGGUUCACGUCACACUCACGCACCUAUAGCCUUAAGGUUACCGUCCUAGGGUCUCCUAGGUCCAUCCUAGACUUCUCUCUUUGCUUGCUUGCUCUGUUACUUGCUUUGAUACCACUUUAUUUGUCAUGCCUUGCAACCGCCAAUUUGGUCGAUUCGUGUACGUCGAUCAGACGCCGAACGGACAGAGCCUCCCCUGCCCGCCCAAGACUAACAACAACGAGAUCAAGUAUGUCAACAGUUGCCCAGGAAACAAUAACCUCAUACAUGAUCUAAGCAAGUACUAAUACAAGCAAUCGUUAAAAGAGAGAAAGAUCUAGCUAUUACAAUUCCAUUCAACAUAUACAUCGAGUUUAUAUUUUUUCCAUUCAACAUAUACAUCGAGUUUAUAUUUUUCAUCUCCAAAAUGUAUACAUGUUCAUCCACAACUCCCCAAAAUACAUAUACAUCAUGUCCUCUCAUCUAUCCAGGGUGUACUAAUGCAUAAAGAAAGCUGCUAACUAACUAGGGCGCUAUGCCCUUACCCCGGUCCUCGCCCGGUCCGCUCGAACUUGGCCCUGCAACCAAAGCGGGGUGAGAACUACGAAUAGUUCCCAGUGGGUUCGGCCGCCGACUCCGCCGAUCUUCCCACUAGGUCUAAUCAGGCAUAAGUAGAUAGAUAGAUAGAUAUGAAAAUGAGCUGCUAUAUAGUAAUAAAACCUACAACAUGCUACUAUGCCUCAAUAAACAGAAUGAAUGCAUGAACAUAGUAAUUAAUGUACUCUACUAACAUAAUACUAUGUCUCAAUCUGUAUGAUAUAAAGGAAAUGACUACAUAGUAAUGAAACCUAUUAUCAAGUACUAUGUCUAAUGUCCAAUCUCAUCGGCUAACCAAAAGGUUAUGCCCAAACUCACAUCUCAAAUCUCGCCGGUGAGUAGACACUGCGCUACAAACACCCGAGACCGCCUGCUGGGUACUCGUGUUACCCAAACGCGACAUCUACUCCGGAGCUCACUACUUGGGGUGGAGCGACCACGCCAAGGUUACACAGACUAUGUGAGUACGAUCCAAUCUGUUGCACUAGUUCACAUGCUACUACUUAGGAAAUCAUCUUAUUUCCUAAGUUCAUGUCAUCAAGUUGUAAGUGUUCCAACUACACUAGUCCAAAUGCCACUCUUUGGUUCACAUGCUACUACUUAGGAAAUCAUCAUCUAUUCCUAAGUUCAUGCCAUAGUGUUUCUACUACACUAGUCCAAAUGCCACUCUUUGAGUUCAUUUACAUGUCCAAGUUCAUCUUUUGUUCUUUGGCACUAUAGGAUUCCAUGUCAAGACUAAAUCCUCAUGUGUCCACUAAAUCAAGUACUCAACUCACUAUAUGAUUUCUACUAUGGAAACAUGCAAGGAAUUAAAGUACAACUACUUAACACAACCUAUAAUGCAUGAUAACAAUAUAUAUGAACAUAUGCUAUAAUAAAACAACUCAGACAUAGAAGGAAGUUCAACUGCUUCGGGAUGGACACCCCAUUUUCUGGUGAUGCCACGAAGCUAGACUCCGACUUUCGCAAUUUUCCACCGCCUAUCUCUCUCGACUGCGUCAAACGAAGCCAAAAUAGGCUUUUCUUUAAUAUCUUUGCGCCGACUCGUCGGAUUGUCGAAUCGAGUUCACCAACGCGUUCGAUUACUUAGCAGAGAGGUAUAAAUGAGAUCAAUCCCAACUUUGGAUCUCAACUUAACAAAACCCUUUUUCCGAACCCUAGAUGUUCAACUUUGCAAGAAUACGCCACAAUGACCGUCGAUUCAAGCAAAUAACAUCUAUUUAGCAUCAAAGGGUCCUACUAAAACCAAUUCUAGAGUCUAAGAAGCUAACCCUAGAAAUCUACCAUUAAAGCUCCCAGAGCUUACCUCUUCACAACUCCUCCAAGUCAAGGAAGAAGAAGAAGAAAACAAAGAUCCACUUCCAAGCUUUAAUCUCCACCAAGUCCUCUUCUUAGAUUAACCCCUUGGGAGAGCUUCUGGAGAGAGAAAGGGAGAAAAAAAAUGAGAAGAUAAGUGUUCACUGGUUGUGAACAUAAGAGAGGGAGAUGGGGUCCAUUUAUAGGCUGCCACAAUUGCAGAAAAGCCCCUCAACAAUUGCUAUUUGCAACAUACUGCAUUCUGCAGUUUUCUGCACUUGGUACCGAUACGCGGGUCUUUUGUCACGGGAUUAAUAGCUGCGCAGAGGCCAAACUCGAGAGCUGCCUUCUCGGGUAGUUGGUCUGGUACUGGUACGCAUUAGGGGUGUCACCGAUUUAACAGCCAAAAUUAUUCAAAUCCGAGAGCUACUACUUUCAGUCUGCUACGAGGUACCGGUACCACCCUGAUGUUUAACCGGUUACACAAUGCCCAGACUGCAGUUUAUGUCAGACCCCAGAUAGUCCUAUAUAUGAGAUAUAAUAGGGCUAAACUCUUAACCCGGAGUUAAGCGUGCUAGGACGGGAGUAGUCCUAGGAUGGGUGACCCCCUGGGAAGUCGGGGCGUCACAGUUUAGCACUUGUUCGACUUCUAUUUUGCGCCGAGCAAUGCUAAAACUCAAUUAUCUCUUCUAGAACUCAACUUUGACCCCUCCAAAAAUGUCAAAUGGAACAUUCCAAGCAUCUUUCUUGCCACGCUUUGAUCCUUUUAACCAAAAGUGGUUUAAUACGUCGGGUGUAAGGAAGUGAAUUCUCGAAAUCCGAGAGUUCGACUUCGUCCAGGAUCGAUUAACUAUCGAAUGAGCACCCUUCGGGAAGGCUAAAGAUAUCCAAAACACAAAAAGUGCAUUGGAGUUGAGUCCGAGAGAGCAUAUAGUGCAAAACCUGUACUGGGCUGAAGUUGCUCUCGGGGACCGGUUCCUGGCAGGGAGAGACCGGUCCCUGAGGCUGGUGGUUGCUGGGGAUCUUUGAUGCAACCGGUCCCAGGCUGAGGGGACCGGUCCCCGUGUGCGACGCUAGCGAGAAAAGCCAAAAUUUGGCUAAGUCCCGAAAAUCCAGCUCUCGGGAACCGGUCUCUCAGAUAGGAACCGGUCUCCCGAGGACCGGUCUCUCAGGGAGAGACCGGUUCCCGAACACGUGAUAUCUGGGGAGACUCUUGGGGACCGGUCCCAGGUCGGGGAGGCCGGUCCCUCUUGGCAAAAACUGCCCAGUAAAGGCAGUGCACAGGAUGGAAAGUGGAGGGGCUUUUAUGCAAAAUGGCAUUAAUUAGAGAGUAUAGAGAGAGAGAGAGCUCUCUCCCUCUCUCAUUUUCACCCUCCUUCACACUCUCUCUUUCACUCAUCUCUCUUUCUCUCUUUAAAAGGAAACGAAGGAGAAGGAAAAAGAGGAGAAGAAGAGGAAGAAGAAGAAGAAGAGAAGAAAGGAGAAGAAGAAGGCGAUCAAAGAGGAGCUUUGGACAUCUCCCUCUCCCUCUCCCUCUCCUCUUCUCUUUGGAGUUAGCACAAGAGGUAAGCCCUAACCCUAGCUUUUGGAAACUUAGGGUUUUGGGUUUUGAGUUUUGGAGAGGAGGUCAAAUGGACCUCUUGCACCAUUGUUGGUGGAUUAGAGCUAGAGCUAGGGUUCCAAAUUGCAAAUGGCAAGAUGUGAACCCUAGGGCUCCAAAAUGGAGUUUUUGGUAAAGUAUGAGAUUGAUCUCACUUGAGGCCUUGUAAACCUAAUUGUUAGGUGUUUAAACACAGGGGCGAAGUCGGAAUUUCGAUUCGUCGAGCGGGAGAAAAGCUAUCGGCAAAAUAAGACCGAUUGAGCAUUGUUUUGGACCAAGGAAGUCGAGACCUUGUUGUAACGUUCGGCGAGAGGCAUUUCUAGAACCUCUACAAUGAGAAAAGAUGGGGGGUGCCAUCCCGAAGCCAUCGAACUCCUUUCUAUGUCUUAGAAUUUCAUAUGAUGACAUCUCUUGCAUGUUGCAUUGUAGGAUUGCAUAGUAGUGUCAUUCCUUAUGCUUUCUAAUUGAUAACCUAGUGUACAUGGAACGCUUGGUGACUUAGAUAGGUGAGGAUUGGGUCGGAACAUGGAUCCUAUAGUGCUAGAGAAAAGAGAUGAAUACGAUGGGUGUUUGGUGACAUAGAAAGUAACAUCUAAUGUUUAAAGAACAAACGGGUGGCAUCUAUGUUUAAAGAACAAACGAGUGGCAUUAAUGUAGUGUACUUGACACUAGAGGUUCUUUGUGAACUCAGGGAUAGAUGGACUCCCUAGUAAAUGACUCAUGAACAUCGAACUUAGUAAAGCUAAGUAGCUAUGCAUGAUGGUCGGAAUAGACGAGUUCCGCGAGAUGUUGACCCUAGUUCUUAGGGUGUCCUCACUUGGAGAGGAUAGAUCUAGCUCACAGUCUGUUAUUCGGGAUGGUAUAGCCAUCCAUAUCCUCAAAUGGAGAGGAUUGUCGUCGAGUACUCCGGAGUGUCGGAUGAUUAGGACCACAUGGAGGUCCGCAGACGGUCCUGGGUUUGGGGGCACAUGGAGCUCCCCACCCAAUGGGAUGGAAAAAGGUGAGUUACGGGCGAACCCAAGGGUUUCGCCACAGAUUGGGUAAAUGAACAGUUAACAAUGUCAUUGAACAUUAUUAUUCGAACAUGGAUCGAACUUGUUAGCAUGGUAGUAAACCUUUACUAUAUGAUGCAUGCAUUCAUUAUACAUGAUUAUGGGCAUAGUAGCAUAGUUUUCCUUUAUGCCUUUACAGCUUUCAGAUAUUUAUCUAUAUAUCUGUCUACUUGUUGUUACUUGUGCCCACUUGGACCUAGUGGGGAGACCGGCGGAGUCCGCGGUCGAGCCCACUAGGAACUACAGAAGAUAGUUCUCACCCCACUCUAUUUCCAGUGGUAGGUACAGGUCUACCGAGCGAGGACCGUGGCAAGGGCAUCGCGCCCGAUUAGUGAGACCGUGGUAGUAUAGUAGUUUUCCUUUUUGCAUUAGCACACCUAUGUAUUGAGAGAGAUUCAUGUAGGUGAGGUUGGGGAUCUAUGUAUUUUGAUGAACAAAUGUAUUCAUUUUGGGAAAAAGAUGUACAUGUAAAAAAAGAUGCAAAACUAUUAUAAUAGUUAGUAAAGUACUCUCUUUAUUUCACUUAUUUUUACUUGUGGAUUGCUUGCUCUUAGUUGUUGGCACUGUUUGUGCCCCGUCGAAUGUGUAUGUUUAGAAUCUGAAUUCCUGGGUAAAUUCUUGUACACAUUCUUAUUGUUGAGCCUUGGGCGGAUAGGGGAGGUGCUGUCCGUUCGGCGGUCUGCCGGGCGCGCCCGUAUCAUGCCAAAUUAGUAGUAGUUUCGGGGCGGGGGCGUGACAUCGGGGAAUCAAUAUCUUACAACAUCAUAGGUCCAUAUGGUGGUCUCUAUACAAAAAGGGUCGCAACACCUAUCCCAACUAAAACAAAAAGAAAGGUGUCCAUCUGUGAAUAUAUCUCCUAAUGAUUUAGCUAGUCGCAACUCCCUUGCCACGAUCCCGAGCCUCACCUGUUGCGGAAGGCUCUGAAACAAAAGCAACAAAUACAUGGGGGUGAGAAUUAUUAAACAAUAGUUCCCAGUGGGUAAGCCGCCGAGAAACACGAAUUACACCACUAGGCCAACUAAGGCAAAAGUAGGGAUACUAAUAUUAUAGCAUGAUUACUUGCAAGAAUUAAAGGAAUUCAUAUGCCUCCAAAUAACAAUGUUAUUUAACAUGUAUGAAACUAUUCUAUCACAUGAAUGAGCAUAAAAGUGACUAAUGUAUAUGUCCAAAUGUCAUAGACUAUCUAGUAGUGAAGUCUACAUUAAGUUUGAUUAUAGUUAUCCAAAUCAACAAGGAGUUACACAAGGUAAAGUCCUAGCUUGCGCCAUGCCUAAUGGCUCCGUGGUAGUCAUCAUUCCCACGCUAGGAAUGAGCCUCGGUCACGGCAAUCCACUUCGGCUCCCAAUCCCGCACGUGCGAGCAUGAUGUCGCAUAAGCCAACUCCGGAGUGCCGGCUUGUAGGGAGCGACCCUCACAAGAUUUUGCGAAUGAGCACAAUGGUAAGCAAGCAUGAUCAACAAUAUAGGGAUCUUGUUUAUCAUGUGUAAAAUAUGGAAUAUCAACUAGCGAUCGAAAGAUCGAAUACUAUGUCACCAUGUCAAGUUCUAGUUAUUCAACUACGUUAAGUACAACAUGCUUAGUUUCAUGUUUUGUCACUACCGUGCAUUAUGUCAUAUUUACCUUGUCUAUAACAAGUAUAUUAGUUAUCAAGCAAGCUAACCCUUUUUUGUUCCAUUCACUAUGUAUAAUUCAUAGGAUAAACCAUCAUUCAUCUCUAACAUGCUUUCUAGUAUUGCAUAAGAGGAAAUCACCAUAAUAUAUUAUUUGAUGCACAUGUCCACAUUGUAAGUCUUUACUACAUAGAGUAUAAAAUUUUCUAUACAUAACAUGUAUGAAGCAUGUGUUCAGAAAUUUUCUUAUGUCAUAUCUAGCAUGAAUAUGCAUCUAAUUAGGUCUAAAAAUAAUGUUGGAGACAUAGAAGAGUUCACCCAUUUCGGUGAGGUCAAACCCACCGGAUACUCUUCGAACCCUUUCGUUCCUUCGAACGAAGUUGUCCACCAAGCUUCUAGCACCCUAAGAGAAUUUCUAAGAGGGUUACAAACUUCUAACAAACCUCCUACAAAAAUAACCAAAAAUCAAGUCUAAAAUAGCUGAAAAAAAUCUUUACCCAAGAAGAACUUGUCCAAAGUCUAAAUCGAAGCUAUAUAGCUUCAAAUCCAACCGAGAAGAGAGUUAUACACUUAUCAAUUUGACCCCAAAGGUUUAAAAUCAACAAUCCCCAAAAUAAACCCUGGUUUUUUCAAAACUAGGUCUUUAUCCACAAAUCUUACAAAAUCUACAAGUAAAUGUUGCAAGAAGAGUACUAAUCUUAAAGAAAGCUCUAACCCAAGCUAGAGUUGGGGUUAGAUCCUCAAACAAGCUCUCUUCUUCACUUCCAAGCCUCCUUCAAGAAUCAAGUAGCUAGCCACCAUGCAAAGGAAGAAGAAAAAAGAUCAAAAUCCAAAUCUAAAAGAGUUUGGGGAAGAAAUCCUAGAGAGAGAAAGGGAGAAAAACCUACCUCCACCUUUCUCAAGCCUAAGCACAAAGGGAGGCAUGUGGGGGAAAGGGGGAGUCAUAUACAUGAUGUAACAAUUCCCUUAAGACCCCACAAAAAUUCAAAAAUUACAAACUGCGCGAACUGUAGUUUUCUUCAUUGAGUAUCGGUACUCGAACGGGAGUACCGCUACCCGACCCUCAGGCAGGCAGAACCCGAGCGCAAGACAUUCGGGUUUAAUACGGUGUACUGGUAUUCGCGCGAUGCAGUACCAGUACCCAGCCCCAGUACCGGUACUCAACACCCCAAAUCUCAAACCCGAGAACAACUUAUUUCAGCACUCUACAGGGCACCGGUACCAACCUCUAGUACCGGUACUCAACACUGAAAUUUGCACCUUGCAGAUUUUGAUGUCAAGAGCCCAUUUUCGUGCCUAAUAAGCUCCAGAAAUAGGCAGAAACCAUACAGACAACCCUCAAAACAUCCAUAAUAGUUUAAAAUUCUAUUCUUAUACUAGAACCUUACAAUUUGCUAAAGUUCAGUGUACUAUAUUGAUGCAUAAGAAUUAUAUUUUUAAAAUUAUAAUUUUAUAGAGAUUGUAUACAAAUUUGUAUAAAGACCUCCUAUAUGUUUGAGAUUAUUUCUGUUAAACUAAAUUUUAAGAAUAUCAAAUUUUAUAUGCACUCCCAGUUUGUGAUCUUGUGGUUUAAAAAGUUUCACUUUUUCUCUCUAUAGUUUAGCUUAUUUUUACUUUACCAUUCUAUGGUUCAAAAAGUUGCACUUUGUCCUUUGUGGUUUUGCAUAUAUUUUACUUUGUUAUCAUGUGGUUCAUUAAAAAUUUUUACUUUGUCACUCUAAUUCAUAUAGAAUUUUUUGGUAAAAUAAAAAUUAAGUCACAAAGAAUUAAAGUGAAACUUUUUGAACCACGGAGUGACAAAGUAAAAAAUACUAAACCAUAGGGGCCCAUUUGAAGUUUACCCAAAAAUUUAUAAUUGAGGGCAGAAUUUUAAAUUUAAAUUUAAUUUUUAAGUUUAAAUUUCAUAAAACUGCUAUAUAUCUAGAAGUUAAAUUAAUUAGAGGAUUUUAUAAUCAGUAUUCAAAUUGAAUGUCUUUUAGAAUUUUUUUAUACUACAAAAAUUUACACUUGAUUGUAUAACUAAUACUUUAGUUCAAGUUUUAAGUUCAAAUUUGAAUCAAAUUAGAAAUUUAAAACCCCAACAUAUUUGAAACUUUAAUAUUGACUAAUUCUUUUAAUAACUAAUCAUAUAUACAAAAUUUAAUCUCAAAUUCAAUAACUUCUACAAUAAAUAAAACAAAGGGUAUAAUUGUAAUUAUACAUACCGACAAAGAGGUGGGGUGAGAUGAAACCACCAAAUAUAUUUGCUUAUAAUAAUAAUAAUAAUAAUAAUAAUAAUAAUAAUAAUAAUAAUAAUAAUAUGAAUAGAUAGAUAAGGCUUUAUCUGUCAGGCCUCGCGAUCGCCAAUUUGGUCGGUUCGGAUACGUCGAUCAAACGCCGAACGGACAGAACCUCCCCUGCCCGCCGAAGGCUAACAACAACGAGAUCAUGUAUGUAAACGGUUGCCCAGGAAACAAUAACCUCAUACAUGAUCUAAGCAAGUACUAUUACAAGCAAUCAACAAAAGAGAGAAAGAUCUAACUAUUACAAUUCCAUGCAACAUUUACAUCGAGUUUAUAUUUUUCAUCUCCAAAAUGUAUGCAUGUUCAUCCACAACUCCCCAAAAUACAUAUACAUCAUGUCCUCUCAUCUAUACAGGGUGUACUAAUGCAUAAGGAAAGCUGCUAGCUAACUAGGGUGCUAUGCCCUUACCGCGGUCCUCGCUCGGUCUGCUCGGACUCGGCCCUGCAACCAAAGUGGGGUGAGAACUACGAAUAGUUCUCAGUGGGUUCGACCGCCGACUCCGCCGAUCUUCCCACUAUGUCUAAGCAGGCAUAAGUAGAUAGAUAGAUAGAUAUGAAAAUGAGCUACUAUAUAGUAAUAAAACCUACAACAUACUACUAUGCCUCAAUAAACAGAAUGAAUGCAUAAACAUAGUAAUGUACUCUACUAAUAUGAUACUAUGUCUCAAUCUGCAAGAUAUAAAGGAAAUGUCUACAUAGUAAUGAAAUCUACUAUCAAGUACUAUGUCUGAUGUCCAAUCUCAUCUCGGCUAACCAAAAGGUUACGCCUAAACUCACAUCUCAAAUCUCGCUGGUGAGUAGACUCUACACUACAAACACCCGAGACCGUCUGUUGGGUAAUCAUGUUACCCAAACGCGACAUCUACUCCGGAGCUCACUACUUGGGGUGGAGCGCCCACGCCAAGGUUACACAGACUAUGUGAGUACGAUACAAUCCUCUCACUCGAGGAUAGUUAGUGCUUAUGUUGCACUAGUUCACAUGCUACUACUUAGUAAGUCAUCUUUUAUUCCCAAGUUCAUGUCAUCAAAUUGUAAGUGUUUACACUACACUAGUCAAAAUGCUACUCUUUGGUUUACAUGCUACUACUCAGGAAAUCAUCAUCUAUUCCUAGGUUCAUGUCAUAGUGUUUCUACUACACUAGUCCAAAUGCUACUCUUUGAAUUCAUUUACAUGUCCAAGUUCAUCUUUUGUUCUUUAGCACUAUAGGAUUCCAUGUCAAGACCCAAUCCUCAUGUAUCCACUAAAUCAAGUGCUCAACUCACUAUGUGAUUUCUACGAUGGAAACAUGCAAGGAAUUGAAGUACAACUACUUAACACAACCUAUAAUGCAUGAUAAUAAUAUGUAUGAAUAUAUGCUAUAAUAACACAACUCGGACAUAGAAGGAAGUUCAACUGCUUCAGGAUGGACACCCUCCACCUUCUGGUGAUGCCACAAAGCUAGACUCCAACUUUCAUAAUUUUUCGCCGCCUCUCUCUCUCAACUGCAACAAACGAAGCAAAAAACAGGCUUUACUUCAAUAUCUGCACGCCGACUCGUCAGAUCGCCGAACCGAGUUCACCAAUGCGUUCGAUUACCUAGUAGGUAGACAUAAAGGAGAUCAAUCCCAACUUUAGAUCUCAACUUAACAAAACCCACUUUGGAACCCUAGAUGUUCUAUAUUGCAAGAAUAUACCACAAAAACCAUUGAUUCAAGCAAAUAACAUCUACUUAGUACCAAAGGGUUCUACUAAAACCAAUUCUAGAGUUUAAAACUCAAGUCCUAGAAUUCUACCAUUAAAGCUCCAAGAGCUUACCUCUCCACAACUCCUCCAAGCCAAGGAAGAAGAUGAAGAAGACGAAGAUCCAUUUCCUUGCUUCAAUCUCCACUAAUCUCUCUUUUUUGAUCAACCCUUGAAAGAGCUUCUAGAGGGAGAGAGAGAAAAAUAAGAUAAAGAAGAGUGUUCACAGGCUGUGAACAAGAGAGGGAGAUAGGGUCUAUUUAUAGGCUGCCACAAUUGCAACAAAACUCCCCAACAAUUGCUGUCACGCCCCGGGACUGGCGGAGGCCCUCCCGGUAGCGUGCCCAGACCCGCCAUAUGUCAACACAUAUAUGGCGUCUACAACAAAAGUGGAAGUAAAGCAAGAGAUAGAACAAAUAAAAGAAGUGAAAUAACUAGCAACUAAUGAUAUCAGAGCGAGUAUAGUUCUAACAUCUACAUCAAAGUAAAUAAGUAAAGCUAGACAAUAAAAGAAAUCAUAAGUAGUACAACAACUGUCUCUAGUACAAAAAUGGUGGUCUCUAGUACACUGGUAAAACCCUCAACCUCUCGCCAAAAAGAAACACAUCGAGAGGUAGACCACCUAAACUCGUCUCUCGCUGAAGGGCUAACUCGAAGCGACGCCCUUACCACGGUCCCUAGCCUCUCCCAGCGUGGAAGGCUCUGAAAGAAAAUAUAAAACAGAGGGCGUGAGAACUAUAAUUUAUAGUUCCCAGUGGGCAAUUACCGACCUCAGCUCAUUGCACCACUAGGCCCCAAAAGAAAAGGGUAAGUCUACUAAUAAUAGUAACGAGUAAAUUGCAUAUAAGAAAGCAUAAUUAAGAUGCUAAGCUACGACUUGCAAUUAAGCAUGGCAUUCAUAAUGCGACUUUAUCUUGUCAUGGAUAAUAUAUAUAUCUAUAUGUUCAUAAGUAAUAUCAUGAUUUACUUUAUACAAAUAUGAAAGUGAUACUUUGUCAUGACUACAGUGCAUAUAAGGAUGUAAUAAACAACAUCUCCUAGCAUACUACAUGUAUGUAUGAAUACCCAAAUGUCCACAACUAUACUAGAAGUAAGUCCAAGUAAUCCUACUACUACUCUCUGUCUAGUAGUGAUCAUAAUAAACUUAACACGGUGUCGAUUUCCAUUUCCAAUUAAAGACCUACCAACGGUAGUCCAGCUUGUGCCGCCUAAGUGCCUGUGGUAGCCCGACAUCCUUACUCUUGGAAUGUGUCUGUCCCACUCGACCCCGUAGGCUUCUCAAUACCGCACGAGCGAACAUAAGUCGCGUAAGCUAACUCCGGAGUGCCGGCUUGUGGGGAGCGACCCACACAAGCAUGUGCGAAUGAGCACAAAUGGCAAACAAGCAAGGUCACUGUCUCAAAUACUUUAUCCACAUGUCUCUAUCAUGGCAAGGUCACUAGCAUCCCAAGGAUCUAGCCCAAUGUCUCUAAGUGAUGUCCUAACACUCACUUGCUUAGUGCCUCUUUAUGACACUUAAGCAUCACGCUGAUCAAGCCCAAUUCUUGUUCUAUGUUUCAUUUAAACAUUAAUACCAAUGAUUACUAUAGCCCGGGCCCAAUGCCUCUUUAUGACAUUGGCCCAAUUCUCAAAUAGUCCAAAUUCUCAAGCCCUCUCUAGGCUUCUAAAAUCCCUAAUGUCACAAUUGGCAUAUAGGUUAAAGGCAAGAAAACAAGAUCCAUUUUCAUGAUAGGGGCCCUAAUUCCAAAUCUCAUCUAGAAUGCUAUGUUUCACAUGCAUGCUCUCUACCGCAUAGGUGUAAUAUACCGAAAAUUCGGAAAAUAAAUAUCGAACUUUAGUCAAAUUGACCAAAGUGCGAGGAUGGUGCACUUCGGAAAGUCUGAAGGUGUUAAAAUGAUUAAAAGUGAGUUGUGGAAGGUUUUCGAGAGCUAGAGAAUCAAAUUCUGCAAAACUGCAGAUUUUCAGCUCUCGGGGACCGGUCCCUAAAGGGAGAGACCGGUCCCCGAACGCGUGCAGAAUGAGACAGCCGAAAAAUCGGCUAAGUCCUGGAAGGAUAGCUCUCGGGAACCGGUCUCUGCCUGAGAGACCGGUCCCCCAGAGACCGGUCCCAUAAGGAGAGACCGGUUGCUCUGCGCGCAGCAGCUCUGGCUGCGCUGGGACAACGUUCGGGAACUGGUCCCUGCUCGAGGAGACCGGUCUCUGCCUGCGCGAACUGCCCAGUUCAGGCAGUGCAUUAAGUGAAAGUUGAGGGGUUUUAUUGCAUUUUUG
rnacentral:lncRNA from 1 species